GCUUCCCUCGUGAGGUUGGCAAGGUCUGAUGCCCUCCAGAAGAGAGCCCCCGAGCCCUGCCUGAGGAGGGCGCCGAGCGCGCCUUCCUAUGCGAUGGAGGGAGGCGCCCCUGGAGCGAGCGCUAGUCCUGACGAGGCUCCUGCCACGACACCAUCCUCCUGAGGUCCUGCACGGCGCGGCUGUUCUUCUUGGGAUGGCCUCCAGAGGGCCUUCAUUUCUGCUGUCGGGGUCGUCGAUUGCUGUGCUUGAAAGGCGCGCUCGAGGGAGCACACCGCAUCCCUCUCUUCACACGGGACCGUGAUGAUUCCUCCGCUUCCUGGCAUCUUGAGAACGUUGUAGCCGUGAUGAGUGACUGCCAUGAACUUGGCCAGGGUUGGAUACCCGAAGAUGGCAUUGUACGACAGGCGGAUGUGUGUGACGUUGAAGUCGAUGAGCUUGGUGCGGUAGUUCUUGCGCUCCCCGAAGGUGACGGGCAAGUGGACCUGCCCUAUCGGUGUGGUGGAGCCGUCGGUCACUCCUAAGAAAGGCUUGGUGGGCUGGAGCUAUACAUAAGGCACUUGGAGGUUGUCGAACGUGUCAACGGACAGGACGUUGAGCCCUAUGCCAUCGUCGAUGAGGGUCUUGGUGACCUGCACAUUGCUGAUGACUGGGGAACACAACAUAGGGAAGCGGAAGCAUGAGAGAUGUCCCGCCUCGCUACGAGAGCAGCUGACAUGUCCCGCUGCACGGAAGUAGCAGCACAAAGGUCCCGCCGCGCCACUGAAGCAGCACGGAGGUCUCGCCGCGCCGUUGAUGCAGCAGACUGGUCCGGCCGCGCCGCAAAAGCAGCAGAGAUGUCCCGCGUGCCACGAAUGCAGCAGAGAUGUCACGCCGCGCCGUGGCGGCCUGGGAAAAUUUCUCGCGAGCAGGCGAGGACUGUUACAGGCGCAUGCAUGCGAUCGUCCAUAGCCAGAUGGAUCAGAUCUCCGGCUCGGCAAGGUUGCAAGACGACAUGAUAGCCUUGUUUGAACAUGCUACCGGUGUCAUCCAACAACUAAGGGAGGGCAAUGAGAGGCUCCGGGCCGAGCGCGACCUGCUGGGGGAGAAGAUCGUCCGAAGUGCAGACCAGCAGGAGGAAACCAGUGCCUUAUUGAAGAAACUUAUGGAUGAGAAUGACAUGCUCCAGAACGAGCGCCAAAGGCUGGUGGAGGAAUCCGUGGAUGUUCUCAAGCAGCGUCUUGAGGACACGAAAGAGCUCAUCGCCGCUCGCUGCGGAGACUAGUUUCCUGGUUUCUUUUGAUGUAAUAAUCGGUUUAGGAUGUGGAUUGUGUCGUCGGUUGUGAAAUGUUGGGUUCUGGCGCGGAUGUUUGGCCUUUGUUGGCCUCUUGGGAUGUUACGAUUUCAAUCUGGUAGCUUUUAGUCCUUCGUGUUAGGCUGGAGUUGUGCUGAACUUCUUGUGAAUUGUGGUGGUUUUCAGUAAUGAAAAUUGGAAGGGGCAAGCCCUUCUUUGAUCAAAAAAAAAUUAAUCGUCCUUAUAUAUUCAUCAGUCUUGCUAUAAGUCGCAGUAGAUGCUAUAUAGGUCCGUCGGAUCUUACAUCAAGAUCCGUGGUUUCAGAUUUUCUUUUUUCUCUCUUAAAUCUCAGUCGGGUGAGACAUAGCCAUGCCAUUAAACAGAGGCUCGGGCGCCAUUAAUGGAGACCUUGGGAGAGAGGUGGACGACAGAUGGAGGUCAAAGGGCUCUCCUCCCGAUAAGCACGUGCAGGGGUCUCAUCGCAUGCCUCUCGUACUCAAAUAGCUACCCUGCACGGCGCCUCCUAGCUAAUAAAAAAUGGGGACGCGUGGCGGCACGUAAAUGGUACUAGUAAGUAGAAUGCCCACGGUUUCAAUAAUACUUGUGUUUCCGAUUGUAACGUGACAACACUUGUUCCAAAAUGACUUUGUUGAUUGUUAAUGUGUGCGCCUUCGCAAAUCGGACUGCAAAUUUACCACAGCAUGUUGGUGCCAUGUCAUGGUACCAAGCCAAGUUUCAUUAUUUUCAUGCAUGUUUUGGAUUUAUAGGAAUUAAAAAACUAAGUUUCUCAAUGUUUCCAACCCAGCCAAGACGCCCAAAAUUUUGAAUUUCAUUUCCAUUUCUUGCAUGGAACCUAGAAAUUUACCCGAGGACACACAUGUAAUUUUUCAACCAACUUUGGUGCACUGGAACAUGUGCUUGUAUUUCAAAUUUGAAUUAUGCACACAAAGGUGACACGCUCCCUCCUAGAACCACGAGCCUUCUUGAGAGAAGCUCCGAUUUGCAAGAAGCUUAUAACAAAAUUUAUUCCUAUUCGGCCAAUUUUUUUACCAUGGAAUGGUACUACCAUGACAUGACACCAUGCCAAGUUUAAUGAUCUUAAAACCAAGUUUCUCAAUGUUCUCGACCGAGACACGAUGCCGAGAUGUUUGAAUUUUAUUCUCAUUUUUUGCAUGGGACCUACUCCCUCCUUCCAUCUAUAUAGGGUCUAAUGUGUUUUUCAAGACAGCCUUUGACUAUUGACAGGAUUAAUAGCACAUGAGAUGUAUACUAUGAAAAUUAUAUUAUUGGAAGCUCCUUUGACAUACAAAAUUGAAGGUAUGCUUUGUGUAAAUUGCAAGUCAUAUAUUAUUGCUCUAACGUUUGGUCAAAGUUAGCCUCGAAAAACGCAUUAGGACCUAUAUAGAUGGAAGGAGGGAGUAGAAAUUCACCCGAGGACACAAAUGUGAUUUUUCAACCAACUUUGGUGCACGGGAGCAUGUGCUUGUACUUCAAAUUUGAAUUAUGCACAUUAAGUGACCAAAAACUCAAUUAAUGUGUAAAUAAGGCCAAACGAAGCCGGAAUAAUUCCAAAAUUUAACAGGGCACUCAUGUAGUUCUAUGUUUCCUUUGUAAAUAAACUCAAGGGGGACAACGUAUAUCGUUUCGCACUCAAAGGUGGCACGUUCCCUCUCAGAACCACGAGCCUUCUUGAGAGAAGCUUCGGUUUGCCAAAUCUUAUACCAAAAUCUGUUCCUAUUCAGCCAAUUUUUUUACCACAACAUGGUAGUACCAUGACAUGACAUCCAUGCCAAGUUUCAUGAUUUUCAGACGUGUUUUGGAUUUACAAGAAUUUCAAAAUCAAGUUUCUCAAUGUUCUUGGCCGAGCCACGAUGCCCAGUUGUUUUAAUUUUAUUCUCAUUUCUUGCAUGGGACCUAGAAAUUCAACCGAGGACACAAAUGUGAUUUUUCAACCAACUUUCGUGCACGAGAGCAUGUGCUUGUAGUUCAAAUUUGACUUAUGCACAUUAAAUGACCAGAAACUUAAUUAAUGCAUAAAAACGACAAACAAACCCGGAAUAAUUAAAGAAUUUAACAGGGCACUAAUGUAGUUCUGUCGGAUUUCAGGUUCCGGCAGACCCUUGAGGUUCGAAUACUAGGGUGCGCACGGAGAUUUCUCCUUCUACCUACCUGCGCCCCUCCGCCUCGCUAAGAUCUAAGCUAUGGAAAGAAUAGCACAAGAGACACAGGGUUUAUACUAGUUCGGGCCACUGUUCUGGUGUAAUACCCUACUCCAGUGUGUGGUGUGGUGGAUUGCCUCUUGGGCUGAUGGUGAUGAGCAAUAAAGGAAGAACAGCCUCGCGAGGGUCUGUUCUUGGCUGAGGGGAUGAACUGCUAGGAGGAGUUCAGUCAACCUUCUCUCUCUCUUCUCGAUUCCCUCUCCGAUCUCGAUUUCCAUCCAUCUACCCUAUGGGUGGCUAGUCCUAUUUAUAGGCAAAGGCCCUAGGCCUCUUCCCAAAUAUUGAGCGGGAAGGGCGCCAACAAUUGGCCAUUUUGAAGGGGAACAUCUGGUACACUUAUCCUGACUAAAGUUGGUCCUCGCCUGCCAAAGGCUCUGGUGGUGACGCUGGCUUGGGCUCCACAAUGACUUCCUCCCUGGCGUUGGACUGGUCUUGGUCUCGUUGCACCGAAACGGAUGCCUUUGCCUGAUGCUCUCGCCUGUGCUUGCUCCCUUUGCACCAAAGGGGAAAGGAGGGCACUGCGCGGGCUGGCGCCCGCCUGGCUCCGUUGGUCGUCAUGGCUUGCAUCACGGGCACCUCGUGAGGUACCCCGCCUUGAUCUCUCUGCCUCCUCGCGAGCCAGCUUGAUGAGGCCGUGCCUGAGGAAGCUCCGUGUCGUCCGCCCCGCGAGGCUUGGCCCCUCGCGAUGGUCUUGGGUCUGUGUUGAUGAAGAUGGGCCGUGCUGGGCCCCCCUUUGAGCCACGCCGCAGGCCGCAGGCAGGCAAGUCUGGGGACCCCCGUUCCCAGAACGCCGACAGUAGCCCCCGGGCCCAAGGCGUGCCCAGACUUGGCCGUGCAGGGAGGCGAAAGGGCAAGGGUGAAGCGCCACGGGCCCUAACAGCCUGCGGCCUUGGGCGCCGCGUGGCGGUUGAUUAGGCGUGGGCGGCACUGUUCCCCCACGCCCCCCUUAUUUUGCGCCAUGCUAGGCGGACUCGUAGUCGUACAUAGCCGCUCCCCUUUCUGUUGCUCGAGCGCCCUCUGUCCUUCCUCCGCUCGAACUCCAGCUUCUGUUUUCAACCCAAUCUCAAACCUCCCCCACCCCUUCCCAUCACCAAGGCUCCGACAAAGAAGGGAAGAGGGAAGAAACCCAUGCCUCCGCCUUGCUUGCCGCCGUUGGUGGCCCCCGCCGAGGGCUUGGGCAAGGUUAGCUCAGCUCUGGCCACUAUCUUCAACGAAUGCAGGAGGACAACGGCCUGGCCCGCGUCUCACUUCUCCAUCGACAGGAUAGUCACCGAGGUCCAGUAUUUCGCCGACGCCCUGUGGGCGGGUCUGGUUCCCCCCUUUUCUGAUUUCUUCAAUGCCGUGCUUUCCCACUAUCAGAUCCACAUGAUGCAUCUGGGUCCUGAAUCCAUCACCCUUCUUUUGGUCUUCGCCUUUGUUUGCGAGGCAAUGAUGGGCAUCCUUCCUUCGGUUGCCUUGCUGCGCCACUUCUUCUCUCUGCGUCUUGUUGACCCUACCCAAUGCUCGGCGUGCGUGAGCUUCGCUGCCACGUCUGAGACAGCGGCCUCAGGGAUUGACUUCAUGCUCCCUCCGCUUGCGGCUGGGUUCCGCGAGCGGUGGCUGUAUGUGGAUGUAGGGGUGCCCAGCCCCCUGCUAUCGGAGCCAACUUCGCCUACUGUCCCCAAUUUGGGCUGGGGCCAGGAGACGCUUGAGAGCCCCCGGCUCGUCUUCGUCUGGCACCGCUCCAUGUUCUUGAGGUCGCUUGGCGUGACAGCGCCCAAGGUGGUGAAGGAGUUCCUACUUCGCCGCAUUGCUCCUCUCCAAUGCCAUUCCCGCCGGAUGUGGGCCUUCAGCGGGCGUGAUGAUCGUAUGAGGCUCCAGGAAGAGGACCUGAUGCCUGAAGUGCUGAGGACAAUGCUCUUGAUCCUGACUAGGGACCCCAACCCUGGCAGCAUCCAGCAGGGAGGGGCCUUGCUGUACCUCUGCCAGAACAGGGACGAUUUUGUGAAUCAGAUGCCUAUCUUUCAUGAGUGGGGGCCGCGCCCCGCCGGCCUCCAGGGGCCUCGCGAGAACCCAGUGAUGGUGAUUGCCCUUGCAGUCGGCCAAGGCGACUCUUCCUCAAGUGGCGGAGCAGGGAGGCAUGAGGCGCCAGAGGCCGAGGGGGCUCCCGGCGGGGCGACAGCGCCGGGCGACGCUCAUGAGGGAGCAGCUCUUGGGGCCCAUGCCGCUGAGGCUGAGGGUGGCAAGCAGCUGCCCUCAGCGCCUGCGAACGAGGCCCCUGAGGCUCCAGUCGCUUCUCUUGGCGAGGCAAUUGGCAGCGCACAUCAGGCAGGCGCCCCUGACGCGGAUCGCCUUGAUGCUCCGUCUUCGUCGCAGGUUGAUCCCUACGCUCAACUCUUGGGCCGCUUCCGCGUGGACUUUGAGCCCCUCCCGAAGAGAAGGGAGGACCUGGGCCACGAUUACCCUUGUCGCCUGCUGAAGCAUAGGAAGUACUUCGCCACUGAUGAGUAAGCCUUCUCCUUUCCUAGCUCCCGAUCCUUCUGUUGCUUUUACUGAUCCUUGCUCCGCAGGCCCCUUCCAGCCGAGCUCGCGGAGAUGGCUGAGGUACCGCCCCCCUUGGCUUCGCCCCCUCCACCAUCCUCAAGCGCUCCAAGCAGCAGAGCCCUUGUGGUGAGGGCGAUCGUAGAGGCGAACCGUCCCGAGGCGCAUCGUGGCCCUGCGCACCUCGCGAUCCUCCUUCGCGGGCCUUCUCAUGGCAUAGCCAGCCUGCCGUGGGCUUCUCGCCUGGUCGUGGACUGCGAUUGGCUGAGGCGCUCCCUGCGCUCUUCAUCUGGGGACGGGCUGGCUCCAGGCCGGGCUUCUGGCGUGGCGUGCCCGGCCAUCGCGAGGGUGCCAGCCCCCAGCCCCCUGCCCGGAGGGGGAGUGCUGAUUCGUGGCCCCCGACGCUUGCUUGCGGCAGAUGAUGGUGUGGAAGAUGUGCUCGAGUGCGCCUGGGAGCGUCGCGCUCUUCGCCAAGGAUUCCUUCGAAGGGCGGCUGACGCGGUGAGCCUGCUUGGUGGGGAGCUUGCUGAUGGAGACGCGCGCCUCGAGGCCGAGGGCCUGCGCCUAGCUGCAAAGAGGCGCGAGCUGGAGGGCGCCAUCGCCCUUGCGCACCGUCAGCGCGAUCUUGACGAUGCAGAGGCCAAGGCAUCACUGGUGGCCUCUCGGGAGGCCCGAUCUAGGGCCGCUGAGGAGGCCCGGGAAGCUGACCGGUGGCGAGAGGCGGCAGAGGAGCGGGCUCGGGAGCUCCUGGCCUGGUGCCACUCACUGGAGGAGCAUGUGGAGCUGCGCGAGGCAGCCCUCGCAAUGAUGAAGGUGGCCUGUGGCGACCCAGCAGAGCUCCAGAAGCGUGAGGAGGUGCAGACGCUGGAAGCCGCCGAACGUACCCGCGAGUACGAGCGUCUGGAGACGAGGGAGCGCUUGGUGAUGUAGGCAGAGGAUGAUGUCGCUGCACGGGAAGCCCGUGUCCUGGAGGAGGUCGGACGUUGGGUGGCGAUGGCGCGCUUGACCUCGAGCACGAGUUCGAGGAGAGGCUGGGGUUGAUCCGGGCCGAGGCUGAAGGUAGGACUGCUACCUUGAGGGCCAAGCUGGAGGAAGCGACGCGGCGGGCCGAUGCUUCUCGGGCCGCCCUUGAGGUAGCGCAAGGGGAGUGAACCACCUCCGAGGCCGAGGUGCUCCUUCUUCGCCAGCGGAUGGAGGAGGCUAAGGUCGUCAAGCGCCAGAAUGCGGACGAGAUACGUCAGCGGCGGAUCUUGGAGCAUGAGCAUGGCCCCAUGCUCACCACGCUCCGGGAGAGAGCCAACACAGCCUUGGGCAACAUCUGUGAGGCGGCUGUUGGCGAGCCGCAUGCAGUCAACUACGCUGGCAACCUUCAGUUCUUCACCGACGUGGUGACGCAGCUAGAUGCGCGGUCGGUUAGGGCUGACAGGUUGGUGGAGGAGACGAGCCGCGCCCUGCUCGGGUGCACCUUUUCUGGCGUCUUCAGCCAUCUCCGGAACAUGGAUCCCCACUUCGAUUUCGACGCCGCCAUCGCCCCAGUCCCCCAGGCCAUCCGAGACGACCUGGCGCACUGGGUGGAAGACAAUGUGGAUGCUCUUGUCAGGGCCUUUGCUUCAGAAAACAACGGCGUGAUCGUGGCUGCCGACGAGGGCGGUGUGGUGAACGGCCCUGCCGCCGCUGGCGGCGACGCAGGCAGCGAUGGCGAGUCCAGCGAUGCCAGCAACGGUUCGGGUGGUGCUCCUGAGGACGCAUUGGGGGAUUUAUCCGACUGAUUGUGCAUCGUUCCUGCUUCCUUACCCUGCAUGAAUAGAACUCAGGUUUUGGCCUAAUGGCUGUGAGAGCAUUUUAGAGGGGGAGCCCCUCAUGUAAAACUUGUGUUCAUCGUAUUAGUAGACGCUACAUUGCCCAUGCGCCGCGCCAAGUGGUUGGCUUAAGCGACGCACUGGUCGGCUAGUUUACCUUUGUCCCGUGCGGGCCCUGAGGUAGCCUGUGGGAGGCUGUGGUGUCCCGAGUGUUCCUUGAUUGAAUCCAUAGGAUCUGCAGUAAAAAAACCUCCUGAGAGGAUGCGGCGGCGGUAGUCUGGGCUGCGUGCAAGCCGGGCCUGACCCGGCUCGCGAGGGGCUCACGAGGGGAGGCAGCUGAGGCGAAGUGGUAAUCAAAACGCGAGAAAUUGCUCGAACGAUACUAAGAACCCCUUCCCCGAACACACGCAAAUCUCAAAUUCGAAUCCAACUUAAAUCCAGCGGGGGAAAGUGACAACCAAAAGGGAAAAGCAAUGAAAACAGACAAAAGGCCGCGUCCGGCACCUAAUCUAGUCUUGGACGUCUUCUCACCAGCACGGAGCUAAGUGCUGCCACUGGGUGUGGGAGGGAGCCCCAGGGCCUAAGGCCGGCACCCCUGAGACUCCGGGGCGUGUACAGCCCCACUCAUUAUUACGUGAGAGUGUCACGGGGCGGCGAGCUUCACAGGCACUGGGCCUUCUUCACAGGUACCGGCCUUGCUUCAUAUCGCCAGAUGAGGGCCCCGCCUUGCGCCACACUCUAGUGCCAUCAACGACGACUGGAAACCAGGACGCCGCCGAUGGGGUAGAGCGGUCGCCAGCGGUUCCCCCGACGAGCACGGGUCCUCCGCCAGGGGCAGGCCCUAAGGCACCUCCCCAGCAGAGGGCCUACCUCCUGAGAACACCUUGCUCCGAACGCCGCGGUGGUGAUGUCGGAUCUCGGCCCCUCUCCUGCAGCCCCCUGCACCCUCCUCCCGAGGGGUAGGAGACUGUGGGAGCGGGGUAGCUGCUCGCUGUGGAGACCUGCACCUCCUGCGAUCCAUGAUUAGCGUAUGCCUGGUCCUGAGGAAUUAGCAGUACCCGAUAAUCGCUGCCUCUAGCGUGGCCGAUGGGACCGUCCCGGUGCUCCUGGAAGGGCUCAGCUUCUGGCGCCUCGUCCCCCCAGCUUGGGCUGAGGAGCGAGCCUUGUUCGCCCUCGUGAGGGUGCCCUUGGUCCAUCAUGUGGGGCACGUAUUCUUCUGGCGCCGUCAUCCCGAAGGCCAUGCCGUAGUGCUCCGCGUGCCAUGCAGCUCUGCUUGACGCGCCCACCGUGGGGUGGUAGCGCGGCUGUCCACUGGGGUUGUGGGUCGCGUCGAGUCCUUCUUCUUUGCAGACCGGGAGCGGGGGCAGCGCUGCCGCCGGUCCGGUGUUGACAGCUUCGCUGGAGUUGGAGUAGCCUUGGAGCCCGCGGGCACGCGCGGAGCCCCCGUGCGGGCCGCCCUGGGCUUGAGAUGGGAGCUGGGUGCAGAAGGGGUGAGCCCCCGAGGCGGCGAAGCCCAGGAGGUCUGCCACCCGCUCUAGCAACACGUCACGGCCGCCCUCCAGCAGCCUGCACUGCAGCAGCUCUCGGGCCACCGUGAGCGCGGCCCUCGAGUUCGCCUGCUCCCGGCAGGUGUACGGUGUCGUGGUCGCGGCAUGAUUGGAGGCCCUUGCUGCCGACCGCGCCUGCCGUGGUGUGACAGCUGUCGAAGCCUGUCCACGUCGCCCGCGGCCCGUAGUGCCCUGCGGACUGCGAGCUGCCUGGGGCAUGGGGUCGCCCGAGGCGAGCGGCUCUGCGCUGGCGGGCCAUGCCGCCCAAGGAUCUGGGUUGCCCGCCUGGUCGCCGGACACGGUGAUGACGACGCGACGGGACACGAAGCAGUAGAAGGUGGAUUCCGGCGCACCCCUACCUGGCGCGCCAAAUGUCGGAUUUCGGGUUCCGGCAGACCCUUGAGGUUCGAACAGUGGGGUGCACGCAGAGAUUUCGCCUUCUACCUACCUGUGCCCCUCUGCCUCGCUAAGAUCUAAGCUAUGGAAAGAACAGCACAAGAAACACAGGGUUUAUACUGGUUCGGGCCACCAUUGUGGUGUAAUACCCUACUCCAGUGUGUGGUGUGGUGGAUUGCCUCUUGGGCUGAUGAUGAUGAGCAAUACAAGGAAGAAUAGCCUCGCAAGGUUCUGUUCUUGGCUGAGGGGAUGAACUGCUAGGAGGAGUUCAGUCACCCUUCUCUCUCUCUCUCUUCUCGAUUCUCUCUCCGAUCUCGAUUUCCAUCCAUCUACCCUAUGGGUGGCUAGUCCUAUUUAUAGGCAAAGGCCCUGGGCCUCUUCCCAAAUAUUGAGUGGGAAGGGCGCCAACAAUUGGCCAUUUUGAAGGGGAACAUCUGGUACACUUAUCCUGACUAAAGUUGGUCCUCGCCUGCCAAAGGCUCUGGUGGUGACGCUGGCUUGGGCUCCACAAUGACUUCCUUCCUGUCGUUGGACUGGUCUUGGUCUCGUUGCACCAAAACGGGUGCCUUUGCCUGAUGCUCUCGCCUGUGCUUGCUCCCUUUGCACCAAAGAGGAAAGGAGGGCACUGUGCGGGCUGGCGCCCGCCUGGCACCCUUGGUCGUCAUGGCUUGCGUCACGGGCACCUCGUGAGGUACCCCGCCUUGAUCUCUCCGCCUCCUCGCGAGCCAGCCUGAUGAGGCCGUGCCUGAGGAAGCUCCGUGUCGUACACCCCACGAGGCUUGGCCCCACGCGAGGUUCUUGGGUCUGUGUUGAUGAAGAUGGGCCGUGCUGGGCCCCCCUUUGAGCCACGCCGCAGGCCGCAGGCAGGCAAGUCUGGGGACCCCCAUUCCCAGAACGCCGACAAGUUCUAUGUUGCCUUUCUUAAGAAACUCAAGGGGGCAGUGUAUAUCGUUUCACACUCAAAGGUGGCACGUUCCCUCUUAGAACCACGAGCUUCCAAAUCGGCCCAAUUUUUUAUCACAACAUGUUAGUGCCAUGACAUGAGACCAUGCCAAGUUUCAUGAUUUCUAGGCGAGUUUUGGAUAUACAUGAAUUUAAAAUCCAAGUUUCUCGAUGUUCUCGGCCGAGUCAUGAUGCCCAGAUGUUUGAAUUUCAUUCUCAUUUCUUCCAUGGGACCUAGAAAUUCAACCAAUGACACACAUGUGAUUUUUUAACCCACUUUGUGCACCGGAGCAUGUGCAUGCAAUUCAUAUUUAGAUUAUGCACAUUAAAAGUCCAUAAACUCAAUUAAUGUAUAAAAAGGCCAAAUGAACCCGAAAUAAUUCCAAAAUUUAAUAGGGCACUCAUAUAGUUCUAUGUUGCCUCUGUAAAUAAAAUCAGGGGGAGGCAGCGUAUAUCGUUUCGCACACAAAGGUGACACAUUCCCUCUCAGAACCACGAGGCUUGUUGAGAGAAUCUUCGGUUUUGCAAGAGGCUUAUACCAAAACUUGUCCCAAUUCAGCCAAAAAUUAUAUGUAUGAAAACAGGGUUUAGAUUAUCCCAAACAUCUCGCUACCUAGACCAAUAAUGUACUAUGAUUUGAAUUCAACAUAAAAUGGAUACAAAUAUUUGAAUUGGAGAGUGUAUGGUACAUUUAGUUCAUAGUGAAAUAUGAUUACUACUAUAUGUAUGUUUUUUGUUAUCAAGAUAAUAUUUAAAUUAUUGUAUAACUUGACAACAAUCGUAUUCAAAUAAGGAAAAUUGAUUCAAAUUUAGUCCAUAUGGUAGACGACAAUAUAUAUGUUCACAUGGUGGAGUAAAUUGUUCAUAUAUGAUGGAAGAUCAAAAUGUACGACUGCAUCAAUUAUAAACCACAAGGUCACCUAACGAUAUAUUCGAAUUCAACAUAACGUGGACCAAAAUUGAAAUUCGAGAUCAUGGCAUCUGUAAUCAUAUAAAAAGGGACAUUACUCUUUCUUUGGUGGGAAUUGAUUUGUUUUUUGUUGUUGUUCAGGGAAGUGUGAAUCGAUUUGGUACUGUGCAGGGUAAUCUUGUUCUCUCGAUUUUUUUACAUUUUUAUUGUAGUUUUUUCAAUGGCAUCUAUAGAAAUAUAGUAAAAGGGGACAUGACUCUCUUGUGUCUUGUAUGAAUUGUUUUUUACACGUUAAGUUUUUUCUGCCAAACAAGGAAUCCGCACCUUGUUAUCCCGAAUUUUUUCAAGCUCGAGUAUCUUUUGUCUCACCUGCUUUGAAACUCCCUCUUCUUCAACCCGCGCCGCGCCUUGUUAUCCCGAAAUUUGGACAUGCGCGAGAACUCCCUCCUCAUCCGAAAUUGCUCCCGCAGCCCAGACACGUGAAAUCCUCCUUCUACCCCUCAGCCGGAAAUGAAGCUCAAUGUCGCGGUGUCAAAACCGGUGGGGGUACGCUGGUAACUUACCCUACAUUUCGGACAAGCGUGUCCCUAAGCUUGGCUCCCCCCUUCGCCCCCCAUUCGUACACCGAGGCCGCCAAAACCCGCGAAACCCCACGCUCCUCCGUCGGCCUCCCGACCGCCGCCCAGCCGGAGACUCUUCCCCGACUACGUCGCCCACCGCAAUAGCUCGCCAUCCCUCAUCCACCGCACUGGAUGAGGAUCCGUUGUCGAUCUCAUCAUCCCGCCGGAUCAGCCGCCCUGUCCUCCACCUCCAAGGAGCUGCCCCGACAUUCACCUCGUCUAUCGUGCCACCUCAAUCCCCACAGCACCUUCUUGACCUGCCCCACUGGAACUGCAGCACCCUCACCAAUUCCUCCGAUGAAGCCGAGGCUAACUCGGCACCACCAAGGAGGUUCUGCACUCACCGCUGCAUUUUAUCUUCUGGGAUAUCAAAACACGCUAUCUAAUAUUCCUUCUGGGCUAUCUAAUAUUCCUCUUCGCAACAAGCCAGAGAGGAUUUUGAUGAUUUGAUUUCUGGAAUGGUUGAGGAAAUUCACACGUGUCGGAAUUGCUUGGAAAAGGGACAUUUUGCUACUGCUUGCACAUCCAAACUUUGGUGCCUCUCUUGCUGCCGUGUUGGUCAUGUUAAAAAAGAUUGCAACAAAUUUGCAUGAAUCUUGGGUUUGGUUUGGCAACCAAAACACGCUAACGUUGCAACUUCCGAGGCCUCCAGUGAGAAUAUCUCCCUGACAUCACAUUUACCAAACUUGGACCUCCCUUGCACUUCCACAUUUACUCCCUCCUCCAGUCCCAUCAUCCCCCGACCCAAGACUCCAUCGACUCCACCGCCUGCUACUCCUCCUCCGCCGCUGCAAUCGCAGUCGGCGUCGGUGGAGUGCGAGUGCUCCGCUCCCGUGGCCAACUUCCAUCUGGAUCCUCUGCUCUAUGUCCCGGCUAGCCACCACAUUGUUGAUGAUGGAGAAGACCGGGUGCCGAGAACCUUUGUGAUGCCACAUACCCCAAUUGUGCGCCGCCAUGAAGAGUUUAUGCUUGCUGAGGUAAUGCUGAUCCCUCCGCCCGAUCAUAUAGGUGCUUCUAGAGAGGAGGUCGUUCAGUGGAUGCAUGCGCAUGGUGUCUUUGUCAGGUCCGCACAGCCCUAGAUUCGCCUAGUAGGUCUUUUCGAGCUUAGAGAUGCUGCAGUUCGGUUUCACUUGCUUCAACUUCCACCGCAUCCGCUGGGCAAUGAUUGUUUUGUUCACUUUAUGAAGCAUGAUGAGGGGGAGUCUUUUAGGGGUGCCCAAGGUUUUCGUCAAGGUUUACUCAUGUUUUUGGGCAUUCCUUUAGAUCUCCACAAUAUCGAUUGCAUUAGAGCUGCAGUGAACACAUUUGGCAAGUUUCAUCAUUGGAUUAAUGAUGAUCCAUAUCUGGUGCGGACUCUCGUACUUUCUUCUUUCCCUGAAGACGUUCUUGUGCUCCGUGAUGUCAUAUUCAUGGAUUAUGCUGCUUGGGGCGGCACGCGGGUCUCCUGGAUGGCUCCCCUGUAUAUUUUGGGGGCGAAUUUUGCUGAACAGAUGCCAUACGAUGAAGAGUGGAUGCCCAUCAAUGGCAAUCCACAUCCGUUUCCUGGGGUGUCGUUCCCUGAUCUGCCACCGUUCAACUUGCCCCCGUAUCCAACCUUGGGAUGGAAUGAUGUCCCCCCUCCUCCGGAGCCUGCUGUCAAUGUAGUGGAAGAUGAUAAUUGGGGUAAUUGGAAUGAGCUAGUGGACCAACCUGUACCACAAGACCAGGAGUCUAUGGUGAUUGAUGUUUCUACGCAGCCCAGCUCUAAUGCUGUUCAGCAGGGUCAUGUUAUUCCAGUUAUUUCAUCUGAUGAGGAGUUGCCUGAUGCUCAUGAGGCUCCUUUGAUCGCGACUCUCGAUGUUAAUGAUGUAAACAACUGGGCAAUUGUGGUUUAUCAACCUCCUCUGAUUAUGCCCGAAGUUGAGCUACCUGUUGUUGUUCCUUUUGGGCCUCCUUUGCCGCCUGAAAUGGUGUGGAGGAGGUCUUUUGAAAAUCUCCCGCAAGCUCCAGUUGUUGUCAAUGUUCGAAAAUAUGUUGCUUUGCAGCCUCUUGAGCCAGUGGUUUUAUCAAAGAGAAGUUGGGACUUUGCCUUCAGAGACAUGGAGUUACCUCUGCUAACUUGGAAGGAACAGGAGCCAGUUAGGUCGGUUGCUAGGGCUUUGUUUUCUGCAGAUGUUACAGAAAUUCAGAUAUCUUCCUCAUCAACUGCAACACUCAUUAAACCUAGGAGGCCUCGCAACACAUUGGCGCCUACUCCCAUUGUGAACACCUUUGUUCGAAGAUGUACCGGGAGCUCGGCCCAACGUGAUGGGUUCAAGCCCACCUUUCAGGAGCUAACUCUGCAGCCCAAAAGGAACAAGCCCAGAGCAAAGCCUUUCACUGCUGAGAUGCCAAACGACCCAGCCCAAGAGGAGAUCUCACCAGCUACACAUGUCAGUCAUCUGCAAGAAAUUGGGAGAGAGCUGGAGAUUGAUGCUUAGCUCCUAUCUUUGGAUGCUCUUAUGGUGGCUCCACCUCAUGCUGAUGCCUCUAAUGCAAAUGCAUAGUGUGGUAUUUUAAUCCUAGGUCUGGCAAGCCCAUGAAUUUGCUCUUCAUCUGUCCUUUGCUGGUUACUCUGUCAUGCAAACUUUAUUGUAAUAAUGCUGGGUCAGACUGUUAUGUGCUCUUUUGUUCAUAUGGCAUUGUGUGUUGUAUGCUUUGUGGACCUUAUUAUAUUAUGUUUUAAUGAGUAACCUUUGUAGAAAUUGGAAUGCUAUGUGCUGGAGUGUUAGAGAUUUAAAUUUUGAGGCUAGGCAAAGGGCAGUCAGGCAAAAAAUUGAUGAAAGUCAGUGUGCUAUUGCAUGUUUGUAGGAAACCAAAUGCUCCUCUUUUGAUUCUAGGUCUAUUAAAAGUUUCUGCCCUAAGAGAUUAGACAACUUUGCUUGCUCUCCUUCCAUGGGAGCCUCUGGGGGAAUUCUUGUGGUCCGGAACUCCUCAAUUUUUAUUGGAACAUUAAUAGAGGUUCAACAAUUAGCAGUAGUUGUUGAGUUUGUGUCCAGACAGAACAAUGAUAAAUGGACUUUGGUUGCUGUUUAUGGGCCCUGUCAGGGUCAAGCCAGAGAUAAUUUUGUCACUUGGCUCUAAAAUCUGUGUAUUUCUGUUAAUGAGAAUUGGUUGCUAUUAGGGGACUUUAAUUUCAUUAGGUCCAUAGAUAACAGGAAUGUACCUGGUGGGGACCUAAAUGACAUGUUCAUUUUUAAUGAGAUAAUUGGGCAUUUGGGCCUUCUUGAGUUGCCCAUCAAGGGAAGAUCUUUCACUUGGUCCAAUAUGCAAGACAACCUACUUCUUGAGCUAUUAGACUGGUUUUUCACUUCAGUAGACUAUAUCUCUGAUUACCCUAUGACUGAAGUGCUCCCCUGGCUAGGACUGCAUCUGAUCAUGUCCCCUGUGUUGUCACAAUCAAAAUAGCCAUCCCUAAGUUAAAUCUCUUUAGGUUUGAGAACUAUUGGUUGGAGCUGGAAGGUUUUAUGGAUUGUGUUGCUAGGUCUUGGAGAAUACCUUCUAGGAGAGGGCACAUAACUGCUAGAAUUGCAGAUAAGUUUAAGUCUCUCAGAAUGUGUCUGAAAAGAUGGCAAAUGAAUGUAUCUAAGUUGAAUCUCCUGAUUGGUAAAUGUAAUCAUGUUAUUUUUCUUCUGGAUGAAUUAGAGGAGUGGAGGCCUCUGUUUAUUCAGGAGCUUAAUUUCAGAAGAAUUGUCAAAGUGCACAUGGAGAAAUGGUUACAUUUACAAUUCCUUUAUUGGAAUAAAAGGUGCACUAUCAAAUACAUUAAGGUGGGAGGGGAAAAUACAAAGUUUUUCCAUGCCAUGACCACUGAAAGGCACAUGACGAACUCUAUUGCAAGUCUAAAAUUACUCGAUGGUACUUUAGUCAAUGACCAUUCUCAAAUGGAAGGAAUCAUUUGGAAUUGUUUUAAAAAUAGGAUGGGUACCUCAAGAGGCAUUUUCAUGGGUGUUGACCUCCCUGCUCUCAUCACUCCUGUAGAAGGCCUUGACAAUCUCACCAAACCUUUUGAAAAGGAUGAAGUGGUUAAGCAUAUUCCUGUGGAUAAAUCUCCAGGCCCUGAUGGUUUUAAUGGCCUAUUCUUCAAAAAAUGCUGGCAUAUAAUCUCUCAAGAUUUUUAUGAGUUAGCUCAGGAUUUCUUUGAGGGCUCUGCUAUCUUGGAAAAUAUUAAUGAUUCUUACAUUACUAUUGUACCUAAAAAGCCCACACCUACGGAGGCUGGCGAUUAUAGGCCUAUUUCUCUUAAUAGUAUGGGUCUGAAGUUUCUUUCUAAAAUGGCGGCAAAUAGGUUUCAAGAGGUGAUCUUGCAGUUCAUUCACAAGAACCAAUAUGGUUUUAUCAACAGCAGAACAAUUCAGGAUUGUUUAGGCUGGACCUAUGGGUACCUGCAUUAGUGUCAUCAAUCUAGGAGGCCAAUUGUAAUCCUUAAGUUAGAUUUUGAAAAGGCUUUUGAAUCAUUGGAACAUGAAGCUAUUUUCAGAUUCUUAGGCACAAAGGUUUUAAUGAGAAAUUUAUUCUCUGGAUGAAGCAGCUGCUGGGCACUGGUACCUCUUCAGUUCUUCUUAAUGGUGUCCCUGGGAGGAAGUUUGUUUGCAAAAAGGGGGUCAGACAGGGUGAUCCUGUCUCUCCACUUCUCUUUGUUAUUACUCUAGAUCUUUUACAAUCAGUCAUUAAUGACAUGUUCAGAAGAGGAAUUCUGCAUUUUCCUAUCCCUUUCCAUGACCAGGAUUACCCAGUGAUCCAAUAUGCAGAGGAUACCUUAAUUAUCUUACAUGCUGAUAGGGUACAACUUUUGGCUUUGAAAGAUAUGCUCCAAGUGUUUGCUCAGUCAACUGGCCUUGAUGUCAACUAUCACAAAUCCUUUCUCAUUCCCAUAAAUGUUGACCCUUUGGUGAUGAGUGAUCUAGCUGUUGCUUUUGGUUGCCAGAUUAAAAAAAUGCCCUUCACUUAUCUUGGGCUGCCAGGGGGAACCACAAGGCCCAAAAUGGUGGACUUUAUGCCUCUUGUGGAUUGUAUGGAAAGAAGAAUGACUGCUAGCUCCUCUUUCCUCAACCAAGGGGAGAGACUACAAUUUUUGAACUCUGCAUUGUCUUCCAUGCCCAUUUUCUUUAUGUGCAGUUUGGCUAUUUCUCCUGGAAUCCUCAAGCAGUUAGAGAUAAUUCAUAGGAAGUGUUUAUUGAGAAAGCAUAGAGAUGAGCCAGCCCCCUCCCUUGCUGCUUGGGAGCUUAUUUGCAGGCCAAAAAACAAGGGUGGACUUGGUAUUCUCAAUUUUGGGGUGCAAAAUGUUGCCUUGCUCCUAAAGCAUGCUAGUAACUUCCUCAAUAGAAAGGAUAUUCCUUGGGUGUCUCUCAUUUGGGACUCUUAUUACCAUGGUAGGGUGCCUCGAGGAACUUCUGCCUAUGGCUCUUUCUGGUGGAAGGAUAUUUUCAGGGUUAUACUGACUUUUAGAGAAUGUUCUUGGGUUCAGAUUAAUGAUGGUGACACUGCUCUAUUUUGGUCAGACAACUGGAAUAUUGGUGAUGAGGUUUCUCCACUCCAAUCAAGAUAUCCUAGGUUAUUUUCAUAUGUUAAAGACCCAUGGAUUUCAGUCAAGGAGUUUUUCAGUUCUCAGGAUAUUCUCCAGCAUUUUCAUCUCCCUCUGUCUGCUCAGGCAUUUGGGGAGUUGGGCAUGAUCCAAUCUAUGAUGGGUUCUCACAACAGAACAUCUGGCACCAAGGAUGUGUGGUUUUGGCAGAACUCCUCCAAGCAGUAUAGGCCCAAGAUGUUUUACCCCCACAAUUUCUAGUCUGAAACCUUUAAUCCUUUGCUUUGUUGGAUAUGGAAAUCCUCCUAUACUCUCAAGAUUAAGGUGCUUGCUUGGAUGCUCAUCAUGGACAUGCUGAAUACAAAGGAUAUGGUGGAAAGAAGACAUUGGCACAUGGAGGAUGGUGUGCAUUGUAGACUCUGCCCCUUGCAGGUUCAAGAGACCAGGGAUCAUCUCUUCUUCAACUGCAAUUUCAGUGUUAGAGUCUGGAAUUAUUUACAGAUUGAUUGGCCUACUGGAGAUUCUAUUUCUGAUUUGGUUAUUCAGGCUAGGAAUGGUUUUGAUAAACCUUUUUUCUCUAAAGUGGUGUUCACUGCAUGUUGGAACAUCUGGAUCAAUAGAAAUGCCAAGGUUUUCAUAAAUGAGAGGGCUAGAUUUAGUAAGUGGUUAGGUGCUUUUAGGCAUGAUAUUUCUUUGUUACAACAUAGGAUUAAAUCUUCCUACAAGGAUAACCUUCUCAAGUGGAUCUCCUUCCUUCCCCCUUAAGGCUUAGUGUAGUAAGGCNNNNNNNNNNNNNNNNNNNNNNNNNNNNNNNNNNNNNNNNNNNNNNNNNNNNNNNNNNNNNNNNNNNNNNNNNNNNNNNNNNNNNNNNNNNNNNNNNNNNNNNNNNNNNNNNNNNNNNNNNNNNNNNNNNNNNNNNNNNNNNNNNNNNNNNNNNNNNNNNNNNNNNNNNNNNNNNNNNNNNNNNNNNNNNNNNNNNNNNNNNNNNNNNNNNNNNNNNNNNNNNNNNNNNNNNNNNNNNNNNNAUUUGUUCCUUUUGAUUAAUAUAUUUUGCUAUGUUGUGGGGAUUUACCCCACAGUUCUGAGUCAAAAAAAUCUAGCCAUUUUCCAAUUUUAAGUCUUGGCAGAUUUUUUAGCAACUUAGCAUAAGUCAAGCAAUCAGCCUACACAUGCAAGUAUAAGAGUAUAGCAGCGGAAUAUAAAUCAUUGCACAUGAAGGUAAAGGGAGGAGUUUAUAGGGAGCAAACGCAAUGUAGACAUUGAGAUUUUUGGUGUGGUUCCGAUAGGUGGUGCUAUCAUACAUCCACGUUGAUGGAGACUUCAACCCAUGAAGGGUAACGGUUGCGCGCAUCCACGCAGGGCUCCACCCACAAAGGGUCCAUGAAGAAGCAACCUUGUCUAUCCCACCAUGGCCAUCGCCCACGAAGGACUUGCCUCACUUAGGUAGAUCUUCACGAAGUAGGCGAUCUCCAUGUCCUUACAAACUCCUUGGUUCAACUCCACAAUCUUGACGGAGGUUCCCAAGUGACACCUAACCAAUCUAGGAGACACCACACUCCAAAAGGUAAUAGAUGGUGUGUUGAUGAUGAACUCCUUGUUCUUGUGCUUCAAAUAAUAGUCUCCCCAACACUCAACUCUCUCUCAUGGAUUUGGAUUUGGUGGAAAUAUGAUAUGAGUGGAAAGCAACUUGGGGAAGGCUAGAGAUCAAGAUUCUUGUGGUUGGAUUGGAAUAUCUUGGUCUCAACACAUGAGUAGGUGGUUAUUUCUCAGAAAAUGAAUGGUAGAAGUGUAGGCAUGUUCUGAUGGCUCUCUCAAUGAAUGAAGAGUAGGUGGAGGGGUAUAAGUAGCCUCCACACAAUAUCUAACCAUUACCCAAAAUUUACCAAACUCGGUGGGACCGAAUCAUGAAACUCGGUCAGGCCGAUUUAGUUCAAAAUGUGAACGUUAGGAUUUUUGGUGGGACCGACAUGUCAACUCGGUGGGACCGAUUUCAUUAGGGUUAGGGCAUAACGUAAUCUUGCUGAGACCGAUCACAUAAACUCGAUGAGACCGAUUUCAAUAAUAGGCAAACAGAGAGUUGGUCAGGCAAACUCGGUGGGACCGAUCGCUCAUUUUGGUGAGACUGAAACAUUACGAAAAGGAAAGAGAGAGUUUGCAUUGUAAAAUCGGUGGGACCGACUGCUCAUCUCGGUUAGACCGAAAUGUUACAAAGGGAAAUAGAGAGUUUGCAAUCCCAUCUCGGUAAGACCGAGAUCCCUACCAGUGAGACCGAACUAAUUAGGGUUUCUCACAAUGGCUAUCUCAAAUGAACUCGGUGGCUCCGGAUAGAUCAAAUUAGUGGGCCGAGUUUGACUUUUGGUUUGGGACAUAUGUGGAUAUGAGAAUGUGGUUGAUGGCUUUUGGAGCAUAUCACUAAGCAUUUUGAGCAAGCAAGCCAUUAAGCAACACCUCAUCCCCUUUUAAUAAUAUUGGCUUUUCCUAUGGACUCAAUGUGAUCUUGGAUCACUAAAAUGAAAAGGUAGAGUCUUGAGCUUUAGCCAAUAUGUGUCCUUAGCAUUUUGAGUGGUCCACAUUCCUAGUCCAUGCCAUGCCAAUCAUUGAACUUUCUGAAAUGAUCAUCUUGAAAGAGCAUUAAUUCAAUGAGCUAUAUGUUGUUAGGCAUUACCAAAACCACCUAGGGACAGUUGCACUUUCAGAGUCACUGACACACGGGUCCCAGCGUCAGGUUUGACAUGUACCGCCAGUUGACCUGCUGACGUCGCGGCUACGCCGUGCUGACGCAGUUAACAAUUUUUUGAUUAAAAACAAUCCAGGAAAUUUUAGAAAAUGUUUAAAACUUCAAAAAUUCAUAGAAAUUAAACUGUAACUCAGAAUGAAAUAUUCUAUAUAUGAAAAAUUAUCAGAAAAAUAUGAGGAAUCUGUUUAUGGAGUUUUAAUGCAUGUUGGAACAACUUAUAGUUGCUGUAUUGGACAAACCAAAUAAAUGGCAUUUGAAUUUUCACAUAUGGAGUUUGAAUUUGAACCUUGGGUUCAAACCAACUUCAUUUAAAUCCUUGCUAGUUGCAUUAGCUCAAACCAUAUCAUGCUGCCUUGUUAUAAUCAUGCAUCAUAUUGUUGCAUUGCAUUGAUUGUGUUCCUUCUCUGUUGCCGGUGUUUGUCCCCUCUCAAUAGACGUUCGUUCCGAUGAUGAAUUUGAUGACACCGAUGAAGAGCUAUUACUAUCUUGAGAAGUGCCAGGCAAGCAAACCCCCUUUGAGCAUUCUGAUACAAUCCCACUCUCUUGCUCUUCUUCUCUUUUACUGCAUUAGGACAACAAUGAUUCAACUGUUACAUGUUGCGGUAGUUGAACCGAUUCCUCUGCAUGAUCUAUCUUUGCCAAAGUAAUUAGUAAAAGCCCACUAGCAUGACUAGGAGUUGUUUGAGCCAUGAUAUUCCUACUCAUUCAUGCUUUCUUGUUAUGCCUACUAUGCUUAGAGUUGUGUCGGGUCUGAUUCAUCUGGGAUGUAUUGGAAUGGUGACGAACAUGUCCUACUAUUGAGAGCUAAGUGUGUGAACACGAUUUGGUAAAGGUAGCGAUGAGAGGCCAUGUAGGAGUACAUGGUGGGUUGUCUCAUUGAAACCGUCCCCAGGAACUGAGUUCUGUGUUUGUGAUCCAAGACAGUUACUACCACACAUUGGUUUCCGGUACGUCGACCCCUCUUGGCUUAUUAAUCACCCCGAUCUCUGUCCAGGAGUUGCAACUAGUUUCUGGUGUUUGUAGGUUUUGUUAGUAGUCUACCAAGGGCCAGUUCUUUUGGGCGAUUCUCCGAGAAUCGCCCCCCUCCCUAGCUUCUUCCAGAAUCACCACUAUAUAUAUAUAUAUAUAUAUAUAUAUAUAUAUAUAUAUUACAAUCCUAUCUAGUUAUGGUCUAAUUAGCUAGGAUUGUAAAAAAAUAUGAAGUGACAAUUCUAGGAGAAGCUGGGGAGGGGGCGAUUCUGGGAGAAUCGCCUAAAAGAACUGGCCCCAAGUGGCACCUGACCAGGUGGGCUUGGGAUAGACUAGGCACCGUGGCCUGGUGUACCAAGUGGCACCCGUUUGGUGGGCUUGGGAACCCUGCACACAUCGUUGGGGCUAUAGUGGAAACCCCAGCCAGAUUUCCUUGCGGAUGGAACCUGAAUAGGCGAUAAACCUCGACUAUAGACUUGUGUGGUUAGUUAGGUCGUGGCCGACACCCUCGCUAGACAUCCGCUUGAAGGUUGUCGAGUACAUGUCGUGUAAACGACGAUAAGUGGUGAGAGCGUGUGUGAAGAAGUACACCCUUGCAGGGUAAUAUGAUCUAUUCAAAUAGCCGUGUCCGCAGAUAUGGACUACUCGGAACGCUUACAUUGUUCAUAGAUAACUUGAAGUGGAUACUCUAAAAUGCACAAGAUAAGCAUGAGCGCUAUGGAUGGCCUUCUCGUAAGGAGACGGGAGCGGAUCCAUAGUGGUGUAUUGAUAUAGUGAAUAUGUGGACUCGUGUGCGCCACCUAAAAGAGUUACCAAUGGUCAUAGUAUAGGAUAGGCACUGAGUCAAAGCCGGCUUGCUGUAGUUAAACUCCACCACCCCUUUGUUGAUACUGAUGCAUAUGUAGCUAGAUCUGAUGUAAGUCUUGUUGGGUACAUUUGUACUCAUAUUUGCUUAAUUUAUGUUUUGCAUAGGAGACUUCGGUCUCACUAGUAGUUUCGCGUGGACUUCGACGUUUAGCUUGUUACCUCAGCUACGAUCUUGUACCCUUGGGAGGGUAUUGUAGAUAGUCAAGCAUCUCAGCCUUUUUCAUUUGUACUUGUCUGUACUCAGACAUGUUAUGCUUUCAUUGCUUGUAUGCUCUAUAUGUUGGGUCAUGCGACCCAUGUUUGUAAAAAGUGUUAUGUGUCUCUUCUGGUCCUUUAUCUAUAUGAGUUGUUGAGUUAGGUUGUGAUGCCAUGUUGUACAUCACAUACUUGCAUGUUAUGUGUACGUGUAACGUGUAUUGCUAUGUGUGGGAUUCGACACCUAGUUGUUUAUUCUUGGUAGUGUCUCUUAUGGGGAAAUGUCUCCUAGUGUCAUGGUUCUAUGUCUGACAGUAGAAUGGGGGGUAGGUAUGAGGAGGCAAGAUCCUAGCUACGGUGAAGUUGUGCACGCAAGAUUUACGAGUUCAGGACAUUCUCGGAGGAAGUAACAGCCCUACGUGUCGGUGCCCGGAGGCUGGUUGAUUGGAUUAUGCGUGAAGUUACAGGGGGUGCGAACCCUUGUCCGAGAGGAGGGGGUGGCUUAUAUAGAGUGCACCAGGACCCCAGCCAUCCCCUGUUACAUAGAGUUCAAUGUACAUAAAGAGGAGACGUUACUGGUAAGGUCAGCAUUAAAGUGAUAUAAAUUAUCCUUAAGACUACGAAGUGAACGCCUGACCGUUGCCAUCCAGAGUGACCUUAGAGCUUCUGUACUUUGAGUGGUUUCUAAUGUGGUCGAAUGAUUAUAUCCUGGUCGAAUAGAAUUGGGUAGUCCGAGUGGAACUCAUGGUCGAGUGGGUUGCUUCCUGAGGUGAUUUCAGUCGGUAGAAUUUGAUGUCCUUUGAAUGUCUUUGACUGUAGGGCAGUGUCCUUGGGAAGGGUGCUUAGAUCAGGUCUAUUGCCCUACCCUAGGUACGUGUCAUCGUCAUUAGCCCCCGAAUGGUUCUGGGUCUGAGCGGAGAUGGAGUUGAAGAUGGUUCCGACUCAAUGUUCAUGCUUCAGAAGCAUUUUACUUGGAUUGGUGAACCAUGCAGAAAUUCUGACUUCAUUUCCCGUCACCUUGAGCUGUUCAAAGGUUGUCGAGUAAACUUUUGCUGAUAAGCUUCGAAUGUUGAUAUGACAUAAAAUCUUCAGCACGGUCGACAAUGUUGCCGUCCCCGGAUCUCGCGGGAUUCGAAAUCUGGGGAAGCGCGCGGGACGGAGAGAGCCGCAGUAAGCGGGGCGGAUUAGGCAGGGGCACCUUGAUUCUCGCACCACCUUUUUCGCCAUGUAUCGAGCACGCGACUAUUGCGGGAUUUCACAGGACUGCUUGGGUCCACAAGUCAGUCACUCGGGGAAUAGGACCAUAUAAGGCGUCCGGGCCGGUGUCUUUGCACAAUGCGCCCCAUGUUCCCCCUUCUUCCUCUGCUUCUCCACUGCAUCCGCCUCCGCCCUCGGCGCCGCCACCUAGUCCGAGCUCAACUUGCUGCAAUGGGGAACGACAAGACGGCGACACUGGAGCAUGCAAAGAAGGUGACGACGGAGGCAAAGGGGAAGAAGACGAGCCAGGGAGGGUCGUCGUCGAGAACUGGCCUGCCGCCCAGCUGGAUCCAGGGCGACUGGAUCCAGUUGAUUAUCCAGCGAGAAGAUAUGGAUGAUUUGGCUAAGGGGGGACUGAUUCCCCAUGAUUCUUGGCGGCUUCCAGAGGACGAGACCGAGCCGUGACCGCAGGAGGGUGAGUGUAUCCUUCUUGCGACCCAUGUCGACCGCAGUUUCUAUUUGCCUCCCCAUCCUUUCUUCCGGGGUUUAUUGAACUUUUUUGGAGCCCAACUUCAUCACUUUUCUCCCAACACCAUCACAUACCUUGCUACAUAUGUGUCGAUGUGUGAGAACUUCCUAGGCUGUCGACCGCGCUCGGGUCUCUUCAAACACAUUUUCACUUGUCGUUCUCAGUCUAUAAAAAAGGCCAUCCAAGUGAUGAGAGGACACACGUGAUCCAGAUGUGUGGAGUUCUAGGGAUCCAGAUGAGGAAUAAAAGCACUUUCCCUGCUAUGAUUCUCCACGAGUCAGUCAGAGGGUGGCAGUCGGCCUGGUUCUAUUGUAAGGACCAACCGACCCCGGGUCAGUCGACUGGCCUUCCCCCAUUUUCCAUAGGACAAGUUGAGAAGCCUUCUCCCUUGAGAGUGACUCCAGCUGAGAAUGUGGAGGUGAAUAUGUUGGUUGAGCGAGUAGUCCAACUUGUCUAUGACGGUGUGACUAGCAUGGACUUGCUAGAGGUGUUCCUUAGUCGACGCAUCCAGCCACUCCAAGCCCGUUACCAUCCAAUGUGGAUGUAUUCGGGUAUUGAAGACAGCACUCGAAUCCACCCGGAGGAAGUUGAUGAGAAGACGGUGGCACAAUGGCCGCAAGGUAUUACUGGCAACAAAGACAACCCCAGGGGGUCUAGGAGGAUUCCUCCACUCGACAACACCAACGAACCCAACAAGGUCUGACUCCUUUCUUCCGAGUGUCUUUUUUUUUGACAUGUAUUUGUUCUUGAAACCGAUUGAUAUCCACUCGACUCUGUGCCUUGCAGAUCUACACUGAGAUGUAUUUUAUGCCCAACGGAGAGUAGGAGUAGGAGGGAGAGGCGAGCGGAGGUGACAGUGGCGACUGGCAUUCUGACGGAGGAGGAGACAAGGAAAGUGAAGACUGGAGCAGUGGUGAGGAGGUCGACUCUCCACCUCGCACGGAAAGAUGCUCCAAGCAGAGGCAGACCCAGCAAGUGUUCGUGGCAAAGCAACUCCACCAACUGGACAGACCUCAAAGCGCACUCGAACAUCUUCUCCUGUGCUGACUGAGAAAGCUCCGAAGCAGCCAAAAGUCGCGCAGUCAAAGCCCCAGAAGGCCCUGCCAAAGAUUAAAGUGGCCAUCCCCAUCGCUUCUGGGUAAUUAUUUUGCGUGACCUCUUAGUUUUUGCAUGACUCUGACUCGACCUUUGGUCGAUUCACUUUCCUGUUUUAACCGAGUGAAUUCUGAAAUUCAGAGAGCUGCCUCUGGGACUUCUAUUUACCAGGAUGAUGAUGACGAGGAGAUGGAAGAUGCAGUCACCUCCAACGCGGGUAUAACUCUUGUCAUCUUGUCUUUACUUUAUCAGCCAUUUCGACGGUCGACUGAACUCUUGCAAUUGAUUGAUUUGCAGCUCCACCCAAUGUUAUUAAACUUCCAAAUGACGACGAAGAUGUGCCACAGAGACCCAUGGGAAGGAGCGGCAGGACUUCGAGCAGGAACGCACCAACUAGCAAGACGUCCCAGUCGACACCGGCGACGGAACCAGUGAUUCAACAGUCCGGAGACAUGAAUUGGGCUUAUGUUACUUUUGUUGUUCCGGUGUCGAGUGAACGCCCUUCAUCGUCGACUACACAAGUCCUAGUUUCAUCUGUCCAACACCAUGCCUCGGAUCCUCAAGUUGUCGCUACUGAACCACCAUCUUCGCUAUUCGCCACCCAUCAUGUUUCGGAGGACCAGGCAAGCGCUGCUACAGAAGCUAUACGCCAAGCAGGCCUGAUGAUGGAGUGGAUGAAGAUAGUGCACGAGACCAGCCAAGCUGCCUAUGAUGCCAGUGCAGCCCUCCAAGCCAAUUUCCAGGUUUGUUGGUUUCCGACUGAUCUCCUAUCUUGACGCUUGUUCUAUUAGGAUAUGUUACCUGAAAACUUUUCAUUGUGCAUCCAUUUGUUAGUCUGUACUUCGCAUCUGUACACCCACUGGGUGUUUCAAUUUGUGCCGAGUAGUUUUUCCAGUUGAGUCGACUAGGUUGUGUCGAUUGUAACUUUCGACUAGUGGGGGAACGCAAAGUGCACCCACUGGGUGUAGUCCCCGAGGCCAUCAUCGAAUGUGUGAUUCGGCGGGGGUCUUGAUAAAAAUAUCUUGUUAUUCAGCUUCCACUCGGUCUGGCCGGACCAUAUCGAGUGGAACAUAACCAGUGGGGGCACGCUGAGUAUGGAAGGUAAAAACUUGUCGACUAUAGGAUUUGGGUUGUCUCUCAAGUCAUCUCCUCGUUCUUCUCUCUGAACCGAGUGCUUGUUUGUUGUAUAUGUAUAUUUUUUAGAGAAAAUGAGGCAGGCUCUGUCACAGAAGGACCUUGAUCUUGCCGCUCAGGAGAAAACAACACUCGCUGACAAGAAGAUGGCUUCACUCGGGGCGGUAGAGGAAGACAACGCCAAGCUGAAGACUGCUCUUGCCGAAGCUAAUAGAGAAGUGACCCUUCUGAAGAAGGACAAAGUAGCUUUGAACGACAAGAUUGAGGACAUUUCUCAUAAGAGAAAUGACCUGGAGGCUUAUCUAGGGGCACUCACCAAGAAGUUAUUCCUUAUGCUUGAAGGUACCUUUCCUUGUCUGACUAUUUUGCUAUCAUUGAUUCACCAUAAAGCCAUCGACUCAUUAAUUCUUUGUGGUUGUAGAAUUCUGUCAAAACUUUGAGGAAGAAACUGGGCAAAUCGAGACAAGCUUGGACCCCAUCAAUUCCCCUGUCAAGGAUGAAGCUACCGUGAACGUGCUUCGACUGGAAUCCCGCCUUGCCAGUGUUACAGACUACCUCGCUCGACUGAAGGUUGCGGUUUCGCGGAUCGACACAACACUUUGGCCAAAUGAGACACUCCAAAAUGACCUCAAGUCUUUGAUGACUCGACUCAAUGAGAUCCCUGGUCGAGUGCAGGAAUGGAAGAAAUCGUCUGCUCAAUGUGGUGCUGAUGUAGCUCUGUCUCUUGUUCGCGUCCAUUGCAAGGAGGCCAAAGAAGAGAAGUUAGCAGUGAUCAAGGCUGCCAACACCAAGAGACUUGACUUCCAGUCUUUUAUGGAGACCUUCAUUGCUGCAACUGCUCGAAUUGCAGAUGGAAUCGACCUGGAUGAGUUCGUCGAGCCUGCCAGUCCUCCUCCUGCGGAGAGAACAAACUUUUUAUGAUCCGAUUAAAUUUGCCUCGGUAUGCCGAGUGGUUUUGUAACUGUUAAACUCCUUCGGGCCUGAUGCCCGAGUAGUUUAAUCUGCAGUCUGGAACCUCGUAGGAUUUAUCUGAACUUUGUUGUUUUUGAAUCUCUUGACUCUGAGUGGAUCUUGAUUCUUUAGUCUGAAUUGUUACUGACUCUAUGAUGCAGCUCAGUCGAGUGGACCAUGAACAUGGGCACUUGGUGCCAUCUAUAACCUGCACCUCGUCGUCCUUGCGGAUCAGGAUGGGGUGCACAUUGUACUAGUGCCGCAGUUCUGAGGAUAAGGUCGCAGUUGACCUGCACCUCGUCGUCCUUGUGGAUCAGGAUGUAGCGCACAUUGUACUUGUGCCGCAGCUCUAAGGAUAAGGUCGCAGUCGACCUACACCUCGUCAUCCUUACAGAUCAGGAAGGAGCGCACAUUGUACUUGUGCCGCAGCUCUGAGGAUAAGGUCGCAGUCGACCUGCACCUCGUCAUCCUGGCGGAUCAGGAUGGGGCGUGUUUUAAACUUAGGCGAGUACGUGACUGCAGCUAAGCCCCCAAGUGAGAGGGUUGCUCUUCACUCGGUAGGAUUUUUAAACUUAGGCGAGUACGGGACUGCAACUAAGCCCCCGAGUGAGAGGGUUGCUCUUCACUCGGUAGAAUUUUUUUUAACUUAGGCAAGUACGGGACUGCAGCUAAGCCUCCAAGUGGGAGGAUUGCUCUUCACUCGGUAGGAUUUUUAAACUUAGGCGAGUACGGGACUAUAGCUAAGCCUCCGAGUGGGACGAUUGCUCUCCACUCGGUAGGAUUUUUUAAACUUAGGAGAGUACGUGAAUGAAGCUAAGCCUCCGAGUGGGAGGAUUGCUCUCCACUCAGUAGGAUUUUUUAAACUUCGGCGAGUACGUGACUGCAGCUAAGCCCCUGAGUGAGAGGCUUGCUCUCCACUCAGUAGGAUUUUUUAAAGUUAGGCGAGUACGUGACUAUAGCUAAGCCCUUGAGUGAGAGGCUUGCUCUCCCCUCGUUAGGAUUUUUUUAAACUUAGGCGAGUUCGUGACUGCAGCUAAGCUCCCGAUUGAGAGGGUUGCUCUUCACUUGGUAGGAUUUUUUAAACUUAGGCAAGUUCGGGACUGCAGCUAAGCCCCCAAGUGAGAGGGUUGCUCUCCACUCGGUAGGAUUUUUUAAACUUAGGCGAGUAUGGGACUGCAGCUAAGCCUCCGAGUGGGGGGAUUGCUCUCCACUCGGUAGGAUUUUUUAAACUUAGGUGAGUACGGGACUACAGAUUAGCCUCCGAGUGGGAGGGGGGAUUGCUCUCCACUCGGUAGGAUUUUUUAAUCUUAGGCCGGAUCAGAUUCACAGCUAAGCCCCGAGUGAGAGGCUUGCUCUUCACUCGGUAGGAUUUUGUUUUUGAAACUUAGGCGAAUCGGAUUCGUGGCUAAGCCACCCACUGGUGGAUUUUGGACACAUGUAUAAGUAAUAACAAUCAUUUAGGAGAUUGUAAAACCAUGUCUUUUAUAAACAAACUGAAAGGUACUUCUUAUUACAUCUCGAUAGUCUAAAUGCUUAAGUCUUAAAAUUGCAGAGAACCUCUGCAUUCCAAGUGCGUGGCUCGUCAUUCUUGUGUUCCACAUCAUACAGGUGGUAUGCUCUGUUGUGGAGCACUUUGGUGAUGAUGAAGGGGCCUUCCCAGGCGGGAGCAAGCUUGUGUGGUCGUUGCUGAUCCACUCGGAGAACCGGGUCCCCUUCCUGAAAUGCUCGGCAUCUUACGUUCCUAGCAUGGAACCCACGAAGCUCUUGCUGAUAAAUGGUUGAUCUGAUCGGGGACAUCUCUCUUUCUUCUUCCAAAAGAUCAGCAACGUCUUAUCGGGCUUGUUCUACUUCUUCCUCUGAGAAAAGCUCCACUUGCGGGGCAUUAUGGAGUAAAUCUGUCGGUAGCACGGCUUCGGCUCCAUAAACCAUGAAGAAGGGAGUCCAGCCAGUUGACCGAUUUGGCGUUGUUCUCAGACCCCACAGUAUUGAUGCUAACUCAUCUACCCAGGCACCAGCCACAUGCUUGAGGUCGCGCAUCAAUCUGGGCUUCAACCCUUGUAAGAUCAAACCAUUUGCGCUUUCUGCUUGUCCAUUCGACUGUGGGUAAGAGACUGAAGCAUAGUCGACCCGGGUGCCCUAGGAAGCACAGAAAGCUCUGAACUCAUCUGAAUCAAAGUUUGAACCGUUUUCUGUGAUGAUGCUAUGUGGGACUCCAUAUCUAAAUGUGUAGGAUCGAAAGUGUGUCUAGAGGGGGGUGAUUAGACUACUUGGCCAAUUAAAAAUCUAUCCUUUUCCCAAUUUUAGUCUUUGGCAGAUUUUAUCUAUCUUAGCAAAAGUCAAGCAAUCUUAACACAAUUCAAGCAAGCAUGCAAAGAGUCUAUGAGCAGCUGAAAGUAAAGCAUGCAACUUGCAAGAAUGUAAAGGGAAGGGUUUGGAGAAUUCAAACGCAAUUGGAGACACGGAUGUUUUUGCCGUGGUUCCGAUAGGUGGUGCUAUCGUACAUCCACGUUGAUGGAGACUUCAACCCACGAAGGGUAACGGUUACGCGAGUCCACGGAGGGCUCCACCCACGAAGGGUCCACGAAGAAGCAACCUUGUCUAUCCCAUCAUGGCCAUCACCCACAAAGGACUUUCCGCACUACCGGUAGAUCUUCACGAAGUAGGCGAUCUCCUUGCCCUUACAAACUCCUUGGUUCAACUCCACAAUCUUUGUCGAAGGCUCCCAAGUGACACCUAGCCAAUCUAGGAGACACCACUCUCCAAGAAGUAACAAAUGGUGUGUUGAUGAUGAACACCUUGCUCUUGUGCUUCUAAUGAUAGUCUCCCCAACACUCAACUCUCUCUCACAGGAUAUGGAUUUGGUGGAAAGAAGACUUGAGUGGAAAGCAAUUUGGGAAGGCUAGAGAUCAAGAUUCAUAUGGUGGGAAUGGAAUAUCUUGGCCUCAACACAUGAGUAGGUGGUUCUCUCUCAGAAAAUGUGUAUUGGAAGUGUAGGUAUGUUCUGAUGGCUCUCUCUACGAAUGAAGAGUGGGUGGAGGGGUAUAUAUAGCCUCCACACAAAAACUAACCGUUACACACAAUUUACCAAUCUAGGUGAGACCGAAUUGAGAAACUCGGUCGGACCGAUUUAGCAAACCUAGUGACCGUUAGGAUUUUCAGUGGGACUGAGAUGCAACUCGGUGGGACCGAUAUGGUUAGGGUUAGGCAUAACGUAAUCUCGGUGUGACCGAUUACACAAACUCGUUGGGACCGAUUUUGGUAAUAAGCUAACCAUAGAGUUGGUCAGGUAAACUCGGUGGGACCGAUCGCUCAUUUUGGUGGGACCCAAAUGUUACAAAAGGGAAACAGAGAGUUUACAUUGCAAUCUCGGUGGGACCCAUCGCUCAUCUCGGUAGGACCGAAAUGUUACGAAGGGAAACAGAGAGAUUACAACCCCAUCUCGGUGUGACCGAGAUCCCUAUCGGUGAGACCGAUUUGCCUAGGGUUUGUGGCAGUGGCUAUGACAUCUGAACUCGGUGGCACCGGAUAGGAAGAAUCAGUGGGGCCGAGUUUGACUUUUGGUUUAGGUCAUAUGUGGAUGUGGGAAGGCAGUUGAGGGUUUUUGGAGCAUAUCACUAAGCACUAUGAAGUAAGAACCUCAUCAAGCAACACCUCAUCCCUCCUUGAUAGUAUUGGCUUUUCUAAUAGACUCAAUGUGAUCCUGGAUCACUAAAAUAUAAAAUGUAGAGUCUUGAGCUUUGAGCUUGAGCCAAUCUUUUUGUCCUUAGUAUUUUGAGGGGUCCACUUAUCUUAUCCAUGCCAUGCCAUUCAUUGAGCUUUUCCUGAAAUAUUAAUCUUGGAAUAGCAUUAGCUCAAUGAGCUAUUUGUUGUUAGGAAUUACCAAAAGCACCUAGGGAUAGUUGCACUUUCAAUCUCCCCCUUUUUGGUAAUUGAUGACAACAUAUAGAUCAAAGCUUCGACGAAUGAUAAUAAGAGUGAAAAACAUUGUCGCUUUGAGAAGUAUGUGAAAAGCAAGAGCUCCCCCUAAAUUUGUGCAUAGUUUAUGAUUUGCUUUGGACUGCAAAUGCAUAGAGAAUUAGGCUCAUGGGUUACUCUUCCAUGUCACAUACAUCUUGGUGGAGCGCUCAAAAUGAUAAUAAUUAAAUACAUGCACUCAUCACCAAGCAAAGUGAUUGGUCAUAUAGGUAUAAAAUGAUAAUGUCAUCCAACAAGCAUUAAUGUAGCAUAUGAUUAAACACACAUGAUCAUCCAAGUAUCACGCAGACAGAAAGUAUCUCAAUCAAGAAAAUAAAGUUCAACCACCAAAGCAAGAGAGAAUAAAAAAGCAACACUCUCUCUCGAAGCCUAUGAUCUAUACAUUUUUCUCCCCCUUUGGCAACAAGUUACCAAAAAGUUCCUAGAAAAUGCAUAGCACUAAAUAGUCUCUCAGGCUUGGUCUUCAGGUGGUGGUGUCCGGAUAACUCCAAGAACGAAGGCUUCAGUCAAUGUAGAUGGAGCUGAUGGAGUAGGUGCUGGAGCUGGUGGCACUGAAGUUGUAGCUGGUGCAGAUGAUGUGGCUCUGGUGUCUGUUACUGGCACUGCAGCAGACCUCUGAGCUCUAGGCACUCUGGAAAAUGCAUCAGUGGUUGUCUUGCCCUUCCUCUCCUGCAUAUCAUCCUGAAGUUGCUCCACAACAGACUGGAUCUUAGUUACCUUCACAUCCAUGUCAUAUAACUUCUGCACUAUGAUCCUUUCCAAGCUCUCCUGGUUUUGAGUCAGGGUGGCCAUCCCUUUCUCAAUCCUUAGAGUGGAUGCAAUCAAGUAGCCGAGCUGAUCUUGCUUGCUAUUCAGAAGAUACUGAGAUGCCUCUUCCAUGGUUGGCAUCUUUGCAUCUUUCUCAGCCUUUGCCUUCUCCCUCUUCGCUUGAACGUGCACAGAAGAUGGUUCAUCCUCAUUUAUAACCACUUGGUUGUCCUCAAAGUCUGGAUAGAUAGGCAUGUGCUCCUUGUCCAACAAGUAUGUGCCAGUGCCCAUCUUGGAGUUAAUCAACUCCUGGAUCUAUGGUGCAUACCCACAGCUUCUCUUUUGGUCAGCAGCUGUCCUCUUGAUAGUUUCAACUAUAAGACUCAUGACCUUGAACUUUUGUGGGACAUCAAGUAUAUGUAGCAGAUUGAUGGAGUGGCCUCUGAUCAUUCUGUGAUCACCAGACUUGGGCAGAAGAGUGUGCCUGGGAAUCCAAUUGAUAGUAGGCAGUCAUGACAGUAGGUGUUUCACUGAUCCAAAUUGGUGAGUCUCAAGAUCUGCAUCAGGAAUCUCCUUGUACAUGCUAGCCAUGGAGUUGUGAUCCUUCUUCUUCUUGGCAUAGACAUCCAAGUCAUCCUCAUUCUCCUCAGGAGCAUUGAUCCAUUGAGCCCAUUCUGCUACUGUUGACUGGUAUCUAGUGCCUUCAGACAUCCAGACUAUCUUGCCAUCUGGGUAGAAGUGAGCUGUGGAGUAGAACUGCAUGAUAAGCUCAUCAUUCCACUUUGUGAGCUUCUGAGCCACAAACUCAUCAACUCCACAAGCCUUGAAACUGUUAGAUACUCCUGGAAAAUGUUCUUCAUUCUCCUUGAUGUACUCCCAGUUGACCCAUCUCAUGUCACAUACUAUUGGUUUCUUGUCAAGCAACACUGUCUCAUAAAAAUCCUGCUGUUCUUUGGUAUGGAACCUGUAGUCCACAGCAGUUCUCCUUCUGGUGGCAUAUGGAUCUGACUCUCUCCAUAGCCUCAAUCUUGAGUCCUUCCUGAUCUUCAUGUUUUCUGCUACAGGAUGAGCAUCAUUAUGAUCUGGAAUUUUUGGCUUUAACUUCCUCAAAACAUGUGUCUCAUCAUCUUCUUCUUCAGCAACAGUUUCAGGCACUGGGGCCUUGUUUUUCUCAGCAGCUGGAAUGUUCCUGGUACUCCUCUUUGGUGCAGAUUUGGGUUUUGGAGCAGCUGGCUUAGAAGUUCCUUUGGGCUUAGAUUGAGCAGCCCCAGAUCUUAUGGCAUCUCCCAUAAGCUUUUGAGCUUUGGGUGCUGGUGUUGUAUCCUCUUCCUCUUCUUCAGAGUCUUUCAUGAUUGAGGAUCUCCCAAGCACUCUGGCAGUGGUCUUCUUGACCCUCUCUUUCCUCUUCUUCCCUUCUGCAACAGCCUCUUUGGGUUCAGAUUCCAAAGGUACUUGAGUAGAGGCUCUGGCUUUAGACAUGGGAAUUCUCUUUGCAGGUAAUUUGGUCUUCAUACCAGGCUUAGUUGCAGCAGCAGUGCUAUAUUCCUUUUUAACCACUUUCUUCUUGGAAGUGGCCUCAUCCUCAACUGCCACAUAGUCUUCAUCCUCAGAUUCAGAAGUUUUCUUCUUUCUGGCCCUCGUGGUAGCCUUUGGCAGAUUGCUUGGUGUGCUCCUGCUGCCAUCAUCUGAGCAACUAGAGGGACUAGUGCCCUCACUCAAGUGAACCUGCUCCUCUGACUUGUUCUGGCUGUCACUUUGAUCAGACAUAUUGCAAUCUCUGACAACUGACCAUGUGAAUAGAUUAUAGAUGAUGUAGAGUGGAUGGGCAUCAUAAAAUACAGAGGUUUUGCAAAAGAAUGAAUCAAAAACUUAGUUUUAGUUUUCCUUAGAAAGCAAUUCGGAUCAACCGAUUUGUAAACUCGGUGAUACCGAAGCAGCUUUUGGAACCUAAACUAGUGCACUCGGUCAGACCGAGUCACAGUUUGGUGGCACCGAGACUGCUAGGGUUUCACAAAGUCCUGAACUCGGUCACACCAAUUUUCAACUCUCGGUCAGACCAAGAAUCGCAUGUGCAAUGGCCUGAGCCGAAUCGGUGGUACCGAGUUUCACAACUCAGUUGGUCCGAGAUGGUUUCGGCGGAAACCUAACCCUAAAUUUUCAAAUCAUCUCUAAUCUACAGAGUGUUUUGACUGGAUAAGAUAGUUUCAAUCGUGGCAAGAUUCAUGGCGAACACAAUGUGCUAGGAAUCAGAUAAGGAUAGCAUAGUGAUCAAGUUCAUACCCUAGUUCGGCGAUGAACUCGCUAUGGCGGGAACGGUGGGGAUGAUUCCCGUUGACGGCGGCGGAGACCAACGGCAGGAGGCAACUGGCGACGAGGAGGACGAUCCGGAGACCCUGGAGGCAGAGCGGGCUAAGUUCGGAGAAAAUUUCCAAAAUUUUGCCCGUGGGUAUAUAUAGCCCGACCCUGUCGGUGUGACCGAGUGGAACAACUCGGUGGCACCGAGAUGCAUAACUGCAAGUAGUUGCUGCAACUCGGUGUGACCGAAAAGUUCAAAUUGGUUGCACCGAGAUUGAAAACCUAGAUCGACUUAGUGAUCUAGGUAUGACCGAAAUGGGUGAAUCGGUCAGACCGAAAUGCACAAAGAAGUUUUGGAAGUUUAAGUCUAUGACGAAUCGGGGACUCCGAGUGCUCCUCACAUAGAGUGGUUCGAAUCUGACUUGAUCAAAUUUUGUGAUGUAGCAUGAAUAGAGUUUGAGACGAGAAAAGCAUAGAUAGCUAGAGAAGGUUCUUAGGCAUUCUUGUCCAUCCACUUGGCCAAAAGAAAAGGAAACCAAUCAAUCAAAACAACAAGUGGAUGUCCUCAAAUGAGUAAAUUAUGCAACCAACAUGCUCACACAACAAAAUGACAAAUGAAAUAUGUGGCAAAGCAUGCACAAAUAAUUCUAGCAUCUAUCAAGCAAUUGGUGAUAGCUAGGUCAUCUAUAUAUGAGUAUAUUAACUUAGGAGUCAAAUGAGAACAUUUGAUCACAGGUCAUACUCAUCGUUUAAGCACAAGUGGGGUUACCACUUUUACAUAAAGUGUUGUUGUGUUCACACCAUUAGAGCUGCUUUAACUCAAUUGUUAGAGAAAAGCUCCCCCUAGAUGUGAGAUCCCCCCUAAGAGGGAUGAACUAACCUUGGGUUUUGUCGAUGAUGACUUCAUGUAGAUGUUGAAGAUGUGGAUGCUCUAAGUUGAUGUAGAUCAUUCGGAGCUAUCCUUUAGAGUGAGUUGCACUUUCAAUACCUACACGGGUUAGUCCCACAAGGAACAAACAAGGAUAUCCAUAGACAUGGAGUGAUGCACACACUAGAUGGUGUCUAUGAAAGCUUUAGGUUACCUUGUCCCGUGUCUUACCAACAAGAGGGUUUGUGACUCCUUGAACUAGUGCAAGAUGUGUAAGUUGAUUGCACUCGUUCUUUGCCAAAAUGAUAAGAGUGAAGUAUGUUGGCGGAGUCACCCUCAAGAACUCUCUAGUUCUUCUUCUUCGGGAUCCACACCAUCUUGAUGGGAAUCCUCGGAGUUGUAGUUGUACUUGAUAAAGUGGAACUUGAUGUAGUCUUGGGAACCCACUUGACCAAGGCCUUAGGAGCUUCUUCAAAUGCAUUAAUUUCCUCUUGAAGCUUGUACUUGCCUUUUUGCUUGUGGUCUUGUGGUGGAAGAUCAUCUUGAGCUUGUGUCCCUUUGGAAGAAGUAGGAUCAUACUUCUCCUGUUGAGAAACAAACUUCGUCUUGAGGUAUUGAUCUUAUUCCCACUCAACUCCAUUGGCAUUGAACUUUCGUUCAAAACCAAUACCUUGAUUCUUCCGGUGCCUUCCUUGCUUGCAUACAAUUUCCUCAAAUUGCUUAGUCCCGGCAAGGCUCUUGUAAACACCUUUCUCUAUGAUUCCCUUCAAUAAGCUAUUUUCUUGCUCAAGUGUAACUUGGCUAAGAGAAUCAUUAGUGGAAUCAAGAGAACUACUAGAAGCAACAAUAUUGGAUUUAGCAUGAUUAUUCUUACUACUAGAGGAAGAAUCUUUCUUGUUCUUGUUACUAGACUUGACUUGAGGCAUGUAAGUGGAUAAGAGUAAACGCUUGGCAAUGUAAGAAGAACUUUUCUUGCAAAGAUCAUCAUUGAUUGCCUUUAAGAACUCAUGCUCUUGCUCAAGAUUGAGCUUCUCAAAACGUAAUUUCUCAUGAGUCCUUAAAAGUUCUCGAUGAUCUCUUAAGAUAGUUUCAUGAGCUAACUUAAGAGUGUUUAGUUAUUUAGUUAGAGACUCAAUCUUCUCCUUAUCAUUGUCAUUUGUUUCAUCUUGAUUAGCAUGAUUAAUUGACGUUUCAUCAUAGUAUUCAUCAGUAUAGUUGUCAAUAAGUAAAUCAUCAUCACCUAACAAGUCAUCUUCAUCACUAUUGAAAUCAACAUACUCGGGUGUGAUACCUUUGGACCUUUGGCCAUGAAGCAUCUUCCAAUUCCUUCAUUUGGUGAAUCAAAUAUGGCGUAGGAGUUGGUUGACACAAGUGCUAGACCGGCAACACCUUCAACUUGAGUAUAUUCGGAGUAGGAGUGAUAGCUUCUCUCGGAGUCAUUGUCGGAGUCAGAGCCGGAUACCCAUUCACCAACAUGAGCUUGAUGUCUUCGUUUUGUGUAGCUCCUUGAUGACUUGUCCUUCCUUUCUGAAUCCUUGCUUCUCUGAGAGGGUCUUUGAGGGAGUCCUGGAUUAGGGGGUGUCCGGAUAGCCGGACUAUAACCUUUGGCCGGACUCUCGGACUAUGAAGAUACAAGAUUGAAGACUUCGUCUCAUGUCCGGAUGGGACUUUCCUUGGCGUGGAAGGCAAGCUUGGAAAUACGGAUAUGUAGAUCUCCUCCCAUUGUAACCGACUCUGUGUAACCCUAGCCCUCUCCGGUGUCUAUAUAAACCGGAGGGUUUUAGUCCAUAGGACGAACAUACAAUCAUACCAUAGGCUAGCUUCUAGGGUUUAGCCUCUCUGAUCUCGUGGUAGAUCUACUCUUGUACUACCCAUAUCAUCAAUAUUAAUCAAGCGGGACAUAGGGUUUUACCUCCAUUAAGAGGGCCCGAACCUGGGUAAAACAUUGUGUCACCUGCCUCCUUUUACCAUCCGGCCUAGACACACAGUUCGGGACCCCCUACCCGAGAUCCGCCGGUUUUGACACCGACAUUGGUGCUUUCAUUGAGAGUUCCGCUGUGCCGUCGUCAUCACGAAGGAUGCCUCAUCCCGUCUUUAAAGCUAAGGGAGCUUUGGUUGUUGGCCAAACUCUCCGGCUAGGUGGUUUUCUUAUGACCGCAUGUUCGGCCGCUGCGCCGACGAUGACUUUUCGGGUCAUCAAAAGCAAUCUUCACGUCAACUCGGAACUUGCCGAGUAGUUAGAUCCAAUGGAGCUCUCUUCCCUAAACGAGCUCUUGGAUCGCAUCGCCACCCUGGGAGUCGCUACAAACUAUGAUCAGAUUGGGCCUAAACCCGAUCUGAGAGAGAUCAACUCUUCCUAGGUCACCCAUCACGUUGCAGUGGUGGAGGAACAAUGCGGCGACCCUUCGUCUAUCUUAAGGACUAGCUAUGUCCGGAUUCCCGAUCCCUCCAAGCCGGAUACCCGCGGAGGGGAGGACGUCACUCAAGACCUGAACCUAGAGUCAGGCAGCGGGCCAGAUUCAGUGGAAAACAUCCAAGAAUCCAAACUUCCGAGUUCGGAAACUCCUUGGCCCCUGAGUCUUAGAUUGGGUGAGGUUUAGGAUUCAAUUACACCCACCCACCCAAACAUAAGCGAUCUAUCCCAAAUUAGGCAAGAUCCCAAAUUAACAGUACACCAUUACUGGGCCAGAUUCCUCCUGGUCAUGAACAGGAUAAAGGACUGCCACGAGGAAGACGCAAUUUCAUUCUUCUGCAAUAAUUGCACGGACAAGGGAAUCCUCAACGCCAUAAGUCGACGUGAAAUUACACGCUUUGCCAACUUGGCGUCCAUUGUACGAAAGUACUGUGCAAUGGAAAGCGCCUGGAAAACCAAAAUAAAAUUUUGGGACAAUCCGGCCCUGAAUACAAACCCAGUCCGAAAUAAAAGGGUGCAUUAUCGCCAGAUACCCGGGUUAAACACCAAAAAGAAAAAACCCUCUACAGGGAAUGGAACCGUACUGGAGGGAUGGCUCAAUGGACCCUGUAAAAUUCACAGUGUACAGGGUGCCACACCAACUCAUAGCCUUAGAGCAUGUUGGAUACUCCGGAAGGUGGACAAAAGUGGCGAAGACAUUCUAACCCCAGAAGCCACAGAGCACCAGCCCAGGGACACCAGUACGGUAUUAACAGUCUUCAAGACUUUCGCAUCAAAUAAUAUGCAAAGACGAACACUCCGUAGCCUUGCCGAAGUCUACCACGUGGAAACAAUAAACCCAUGGAGUGACACGGCUAUUACUUUUGAUGCCAGUGACGAACCUAAAUUCCGAACAGCCCGAGCACCAGCCGCAUUGGUCCUCAGUCCAAUAGUGGAUGGCUUUUGACUCACCAAGGUACUCAUGGACGGUGGCAGCGGAUUGAACCUCAUUUAUGAGGAAACCCUUCGAAAAAUGGAAAUAGACUGGAACCGCAUUGAGCGAAGCAGCACAACCUUUAGAGGAAUAAUCCCCAGUCGGGAAGUGCGCUGUACAGGAAAAAUCACACUAGAUGUGGUGUUCGGCACGCCGGAUAAUUACAGGUCCGAGGAGGUCACAUUCCAAGUGGCCCCGUUCAGUAGCGGAUACCACGCUCUAUUAGGGCGGGAGGCGUUUACAAUCUUCCAAGCCAUACCCCAUUACGGGUACAUGAAGCUCAAAAUGCCCGGGCCUAACGGAAUCAUCACUCUUGCUAGUGAUCCGGACAUAGCACUCCGCACCAAAAAUAAGAUAGACGCACUGGCACUCGAGGCACUAUCCGAAGCCCUAGCGGCCGAGGAACUGACUGCGCUGCGCUCCACGAUGAACAGGGACGACGUGAUACUCGAUAAAAGAUCCAAGUCCACCUCCUUUAAACCGGCGGACGAAAUAAUCAAAUUCCAAGUCCAUCCAACGGACCCUACAAAAAUAGCUCCCAUCGGGGCACAAUUAAACCCUGAUGUAGACGCCGCACUACGAGAGUUCCUACGCGAGAACUGGGACAUUUUUGCUUGGCACCCUUCAGACAUGCCAGGAAUCCCACGCAGGCUGGCCGAGCACAGCCUAAAUAUCCUAAAAGGAUUCAAGCCAGUCAAGCAGGCUCUUCGGCGUUUCUCCGAACCUAAGAGACAAGGCAUGGGAGAGGAACUAGCCAAUCUAUUGGAGGUCGGAUUCAUCAGAGACAUAAAACAUCCGGACUGGCUAGCAAACCUGGUGAUGGUACCAAAGAAGGACAAAUCCCGGCGCUUGUGCGUCAAUUUUAAGGACCUCAACAAGGCUUACCCAAAGGAUCCCUUCCACCUCCCCCGCAUCGAUCAAAUUACUGACACUACUGCAGGACACGGUUCAUUGUGUUUCCUCGAAUCAUACUCCGGCUACCAUCAAAUCAACACGGCAGAGCCAGACCAAGCUGCAACGGCAUUCAUCACACCAUAUGGCGCAUUCUGCUUCAACACAAUGCCCUUCGGGCUCAAAAACGCCGGCGCAACAUAUCAGCGCAUGAUUCAGACAUGUCUGGCAAACCAUAUCGGCAAAACAGUGGAGGCAUACGUAGAUGACGUGGUCGUCAAAACCAAGCAUGUCGAAUCUCUAGUAGACAACUUGAGGCUCACAUUCGAUAACCUUCGAACAUACGACAUCAAGCUCAAACCAGAAUAAUGCGUUUUCGGCGUACCAGCCGGAAAGCUCUUGGGCUUCAUUGUAUCCGGUAGAGGAAUUGAAACAAAUCCAACCAAGAUCCGAGCUCUAUCACAAUUGGACAUCCCAAAGGACCUCAAACAAAUACAAAAAAUGACCGGAUGCGUGGCGGCUCUAAGCCGCUUUAUCUCCCGCUUGGGAGAAAAGGCAUUACCCCUUUAUCUCCGGUGCACCGAACACUUUGAGUGGACGGAUGCCGCCACGGCCGGACUCGACGAAAUAAAAGCCAUAUUGGCAACAAACCCAGUCCUGGCUGUGCCAAACAUUGGCGAACCAAUGCUAUUAUACAUUGCGGCAACUCAUCAAGUUGUAAGCGCAGUGCUCGUCGUCGAAUGAGAAACGGAUGGACACAAAUUCCCCCUUCAAAAGCCGUUUUACUAUGUGUCCACUGUCCUUACUCCAUGCAAGUUACGGUACCCGCAUUACCAAAAGAUAGCGUACGCGGUAUUUAUGGCAUCCCGGAAGCUACGACACUACUUUCAAGAGUGUUUGAUAACGGUAGCCUCGGAAGUACCACUUAAUGAUACUAUAAACAACCGCGACGCGACGGGCUGGAUUGCCAAAUGGGCCAUUGAGCUCCUCCCGUUCGACAUAACUUACAAGCCAUGGUGAGCUAUUAAGUCGCAAGUUUUGGUCGACUUCAUUGCCGAAUGGAUGGAAGCCGAACUCCCUAAAGAGUACGGCACAUAUUCCAACUGGAUCAUGCACUUCGACGGCACCAAAAUGUUAGCUGGUCUGGGGGCUGGCGUUGUUUUGACGUCCCCAACAGGAGAUACAGUUCAAUACAUACUCUAGAUAAUGUAUACGGACUCCAACAACACAGCCGAAUAUGAGGCCCUUCUACAUGGUCUCCGCAUGGCAGUAUCCAUGGGCAUUCAACGCCUAGACGUGCGCGGGGAUUCGAACCUCGCGAUAUCCCAAAUAAAUGGAGACUUUGAUGCCAAGGAUCCGAAAAUGGCAGCAUAUCGCGACAUCGUCCUAAAAAUGUCAGCUCGGUUCGAGGGGCUCGAAUUUCACCAUAUAGCCCGGGAAAACAAUCAGGCAGCAGACGUCCUGGCACGCAUCGGCGCAAAACGCAAUGCCGUCCCUCCCAACAUCUUCUUGGAGAGGCUGUUCAAGACAUCCGUAGUAUGGGAAGGGGAACCCGAAAAUAACAGCCCGGACCCAACCGCACUGCCCGACACCGAACAUUCUGACAUAAUUGGAGGCUCUGCCAACGAAAUAACAUCUUCAGCCCACGUAAUAAUGGAAGUCAUCGCCUCGUGGACAGAACCAUGCCUAGCCUACCAAACUAAGUAGGAACUUCCCAGGACCAAAAUGAGGCACGCUGCAUAGUGCGGCGAUCUAAAGCCUAUAAAGUCCAUGAGGGAGAACUUUAUAAGAAAAGCACCACCGGAGUCCUUCAAAGGUGCAUCUCCGAAGAGGAAGGGCAGAAUCUUCUGGCUGAAAUUCAUGCCGGACUCGGCGGUCACCACGCUGCAGCCUGGGCCCUUGUAAACAAGGCCUUCCGUACAGGCUUCUAUUGGCCGACGGCCUGGGCAGACACUCAGGACUUAGUCCAAUGAUGCGUUGGUUGUCAGCUUUUUGCUAACCAAAGCCAUAUGCCACCCACCACCCUCCAAACUAUCCCAAUCACCUGGCCCUUCGCGGUCUGGGGGCUUGACAUGGUUGGACCCCUUAAAGGAGGAACCCACAAGCAAAAAUACUUACUGGUCAUGGUGGAUGUCGGUGUUCUGGGAAUGGGGGUCCCCAGACUUGCCUGCCUGCGGCCUGCAGCAUGGCUCAAAAGGGGGCCCAGCGCGGCCCAUCUUCACCAACACAGACCCAAGACCCUCGCGAGGGGCCAAGACUCACGGGGCGGACGACACGGAGCUUCCUCAGGCGCGGCCUCGUCAGGCUGGCUCACGAGGAGGCGGAGAGAUCAAGGCCGGAUACCUCACGAGGUGCCCAUGACGCAAGCCAUGACGUCCGGGGGUGCCAGGCGGGUGCCAGCCCACGCAGCGUCCUUCCUUCCUCUUUGGUGCAAAGGGGGCAAGCACAGCCGUGGAGUACCGAGGCAUCAGGCAAAGAUGCCAUUUCGGUGCAACAAGACCAAGACCAGGAGGACUACGAGAUGGAGGUCACCAUGGAGCCCAAGACGGCGUCAUCACCAGAGCUUUGCGCAGGCGAAGACUACUUUUGUCAGGGUAGCUAGUACUAGCUGUCCCCCUUCAAAUUAGCCCGCCAUUGUUGGCUCCCUUCCCGCUCGAUAUUUGGGAAGAGGACCAGGGCCUCUAUAAAUAGGACCAGCCACCCACAGAGCAAAGGGGCCCGAUGGUUUGGAAGGAUAGAGAAGAUCAGAAAGAGAGAGAGAGAGAGAGAGAGAGAGAGAGAGAAAGGUGACUGAGCUCCUCCCAACAGUUCAUCGCCCCAGCCAAGAGCAGACCCUCGCGAGGCUGUUCUUCCUUGUAUGGUUCUUCAUCAUUAGCCCAAGAGGCAAUCCACCACACCACACACUGGAGUAGGGUAUUACACCACAAUGGUGGCCCGAACCAGUAUAAACCCUGUGUCUCUUGUGUUGUCAUUUCCAUAGUUUAGAUCCUGGCAAGGUGGGGGGGUGCAGGUAGGUAGGAGGCGAAAUCUCCGCGCGCACCCCAGUGUUCGAACCUCAAGGGUCCGCCGGAACCCGAAAUCUGACAUUUGACGCGCCAGGUAGGGGUGCGCCAGGAUUCGUCUUCCACCAACCCGUUCUCCUCCGACCAUCACGCCCAUGUCUGACGCUCGUCGGGCCCGCGCCGAGCGACGGGCCGCACUCGCUUCCCGCGUCACCCAGACGGCCCUGUCGGCGGGCGUCCUCGCCUUCCCCAUCACCUGUCGUCAACGCCGCCACCGGCCCGGCGGGGGACGAGCGGCAAGCAUCGUCCCAGCAUCUGUCCGUGCGGUAGGACGGCCGCACCGCAACUCCCUCGCUCACACCAGCUGGUUCUUCGUGCCGCGCGCUCCGUGCGCCCAUGGAGGCUCGGGCUGCACUCAUCGCGGCGAAAAAGCUCCUGCGCUACCGUCCCGUCGACGACGUCUACGAAGAAUGGCUCGACCGCGUCGCUGAGCUCGUCCGCGCCGCAGGGGGCUCUCCUGCACCGUCCGUUCCGCUGCACCGCACCCCGCCCCGCAUGGGCAAUGAAGCUCCGGUGGCGCCCCGUCCGCCUCCUCCUCAGGAAGGCGCCAUGGAUCCAAGGCGCGUGGCCCCUGGGAGGAACCCGCUCCGUCAGGCGCCAGCGCAGCAAGAGCAGAGCUGUCAAGAAGUCCCUCGCCCGCAAGAAGCUGCCCGGGCGCUCCCUGCUCCAGCACGUCGCGACCAUCCUCCUGCUCCCGUGCGUCAAGACCCCGCGCUGCUCCUAGCUGCAGCGCAUGGGGACAUGCAAGACCAAGCUCCCCGUCACCCAAGGCCUCCCGUGGCCACAGCAGGCUGCUGCGCCUUCACCGCCGAGCUACGCAGCGUCGCGUGGCCGGCAAGUUCAAGCCAGACUUGCCUCCUCGCUACGACGGCACGGCUGACCCUGUGGAGUUCCUCCAGCUCUACGAGCUGGGCAUCAAAGCUGCCAACGGAGACGAGAAGGUCAUGGCGAAUUGGUUCCCCAUGGCACUCAAGGACGGGGCCCGCACCUGGCUCAUGAACCUGGCUCCAGGCACAAUCUCCUCCUGGGACGAGAUGCGCACCCACUUCAUCGCCAUCUUCUAAGGCACUCGCGACCGGCCACCCGCCGUGAGCGACAUGCGCCGCAUCAAGCAGCAGCCCGGGGAGACCCUGUAGAUGUACAUCCAGCGCGUCAACAACGCGCACCUCAAGAUUCCCAAGGUGACUGAGGAGGCCAUCAUCUCGGCCUUCUCCGACGGUGUGCGCGACGUCAAGAUGAAGGAGGAGCUGGCGAUGCAUGAAGACCUGUGCACUUCCCUGGAACUGUUCAACCUGGCAACCAAGUGCGCCAGGGCCGAGGAAGGGCGCCUCUCCCUCCUUGAGCUGCCUGCCACAGACCCAGAAGAGAAGAAGCCCAAGGCCAAGGAUGUGAAGCGCAAGGGGGCUGCCGUGCUCGCGGCAGAACCAGACAACAAGUGGGGCAGAGAUCAGCCCGAACCUUACAAGGGCAGCCGGUACUGUGUGUACCACGACCUCCACACCCACAACACCAACGAAUGUCAAGAGCUCCGAGCCGUGCGAGAAGGAAGGAUUGGCCGUCGCCCUGACUGCAGUGACCGGGGCUAUGGCCGAGGAGGAGGAAGGAACGCAGGACGCUGGGAAGACCAUGGCCCGCGCCAAGGGUGGCGCGAUCAACCUCGCGAGGAUCGUUGGCAAGACCCGCCUCGCGAGGGAGGCUGGAGAGAUCAGCCUCGCGAGAGAGACUGGAGGGAUCAGCCUCGCGAGGAUUGCCCACAAGGCAACGCAGGUCUCCCACCGCCGCCGCCGCAGCCAAGGAGAAAUGAGGACCGCCACCAGGACAAGGGUGCUGGGGACUUCCAGGAGCCGUGCGCGAUUGCUUGCAUCCUGGGCGGGGCACAAGCCCCAGCCUCUCAGCGCAUCUUCAAGCAGUUCGCCCGCGAAGUGAACGCAGUCCUCCCCAGGCUCGAAGCCACGCGCCCUCUCAGGUGGUUGGCAUGCGCCAUCACGUUCAGCUCAGCAGAUCAGCUCAAGUGUGCGGCUACAGCCGGAGUUCUCCCGGUGCUUUGUUCCCCAAUCAUCAGCAACAUGGUGGUCACCAAGACCCUCAUCGAUGGCGGUGCAGGGCUCAACGUCCUGUCCAUGGAAACAUUCAACAACCUCCAAGUGCCCUACAGCCAGCUUCAGCCAACCAAGCCUUUCUCCGGUAUCACCGACGGCUCCACGGCCCCGAUUGGGCAGGUCCGCCUCCCUGUCACCUUCGGGGCACGCAACAACUACCGCACCGAGCUCAUCGACUUCGACGUCGCUCACAUUCGCCUGCCGUACAACGCCAUCCUUGGGUACCCAGUUCAUGGCCGUAACUCACCAUGGCUACAACGUCCUCAAGAUGCCAGGAAGCGACAGAGUCAUCACGGUGCCAUGUGAAGAGAAGGACGCGGUGUGUUCCCUGGAACGGGCCUUUCAGGCCACGUCACUGGAAGACCCGGAUCGUGGGAGCAGGAGGCCUCCCGAGACCGCCCCUAAGAAGAACACAUCGUCCGGCCUGACCACUCAGGAGGCAGGCUCCUCUGGGCCCACGCCUGCCCAGGGGGAACCUCCUUCCAUCGCAUAGGAAAGCGCGCCCAGCACCCUCCUCAGGCAGGGCUCGGGGGCUCUCCCCUGGAGGGCCACCGACUUAGCUAGGGUCACGAGGGAGGCGCUUGGGCACCACAUGGAGGCGUGUUUUGAAGCACAUUUCCCUCAAGAAGGAGCAAGGCAAGGAGAUCCAGACCCUCAGGAGUUCGUCAGCAAGGCCAUUCAGGAGCUACAGGAGUCAAGAGUCAUGAAAGGCGGACGCCGCCUACCAGCAGUGGCUCCCCAUCCAGGCGAGGAUGGUGGGCUGCGCGUCUGCAUCGACAUACCACGGCUCAACCGAGUCGCCUCUAUGGAGCGCCUUUGGCCCUCGCGAGUGGGGCGCUGCGGAGGCCCACCCCACAGCUACGUACGCAUGCCUUUCGGCCUGCCGAACGCGGCUGACACGUACCAGCACCUCAUGAGGAGCAUCACGGAGGCACGAGAGGCAGGGUGUUCCGCAGCCCUGGCAGGGAUGGAGAUGGCCCGUGAGGAGCCGCCAGCGCCUCUGGAGCCUCCCGAGGCCCCUGGGCCUGGGGGCUCGUGAGGAUCGGCUCCCGCGGCCCACCAAGCCUGGUACAUCAACGCUCCUUCAUCCUCUACAUCAUCAGGUGACGUCUUUCAAGUUUUAUUUCCAGCUGGGAGCGCCCCCCUAGGGCUGCAUUAUUCCCAGGUCGCGUGGGUCCGUCCCUGCGGCGUGUAUCCCCAUUUUAUUCCAUGUUGUUAGCUUACCCUGUUGGGGGCGCCCCUCGGGCUGCAUGACCCCCCCCCCCCAAGUCGCUCGGGCCUGACCCAGUGAUGUCCGCAUUCCCGGCAUUUAUCUGAAUGGAUCCACUCCUUCGCGGCUAAUGUGUUUUACCUAGUUGCCUGCUCAGCUGACGCCAACUAACGGAGCUGCUCCCAAACGGCACGACGCUUGCACAUGGGUCCGUCCCUGCAACACCGACAAACCUGGAUGGCUGAGCUCUGCCGCAGCAGCCCCGCAUAGCGUCACCUCCUCAAGCCUUCAGUGCCUCACUACCCCUCGGAAACAACCAAAGGCUGACUGUCAAUUGUCAUGGCGACCCCUUGUUUUUUUCUAUGAUGGACCUGCAGGACCUCCUGAAGGAGCUGCGUCAAGCGAGGCCCUCGCGGUGUCUCCUUCGCUCUCAUCCGCGCAAACCGCUUGCACGUUAAAGGGGGGGUGCCUCAGCAUCGCGACUUAGGGCUCCUACUGGCUCUCCAGCCCUCACCCUCUGGCCUUGACCACGGCAUCGUGACCUGGCAUACCAGCGACGGCUGAGACUCGCUCGAGGGCCGGGACCCGAGGACGUAGAGCAGAAAGGGGAGUAAAGGCUAGAGGGGAGAGACACACGAGGACCUCGCCAAGCAACCUCGUGCGUGCCGAUGCAAGGACCCGGCAACACACUAGAGAGCGGCCCCUGAUCCUCGAGAUAAGUCAUCACCCGGAAGCACCAGCUGCCGUGGCACCAUCCCCGCACCUAAUGCUACCCCGUGUUAGUGACGCCGCUCUCCUUUCUCACCAAACGACGGCUGCUUGGGCGCAAAAGGGGACCUCCUGAGCAUCGCGACUCAGGAGCUCUUACCGGACUCCGGGUCGCUCACCUCCUGGCCUUGACCACGGCAUCGCGACCUGGCAUACCAGCGACGGCUAAAGCCGCCUUGGGACUGGGACCUGUCGGCGCAGAGCACCAAGCUCUCGUGAGGCUCAAAAGGGAGGACUGAGCUAAGAUGGAAUGAGCAACUCGCGCAAUUCUACGACAAGGAUUAUAUUAAUAAAACAGGAUCACAGGCACCUUACAAGCCCCCACGGGACGCAUUUUUGAUUCCUCGCAGGGAACAGAUCCUAAAGGGACACAAACUACGCGCGUCCCAACAAAAGACGCCAUCAUCAACAAUGGGCCGUCAAGCACCGACGCCAACCCCAUCCUGAUCAGGGUCGGCGGCGGCCUGACAAGCCCGCCCUGCUCUAGGAGCGGCGCCGGCUUGGGGGCUCGUAGCUAUCGUCGCUCGUCUCCGGAGUCGCGAAGAGCUCGCCGGAGUCGCUGGAACCUCCAACGCCUCCACCACCUGAGGAGCCACCAAGGGGGCGGUUGGCGGGCCCAGUCCUCGUCGCGGUAGGGACCUGGCCACCUUCCCCUGGGCAGCACUCCAGCCGGCGCCCGCUCGCAUCGAAGACCUUGAAGAGCAUCACCGAAGCACCGUCGUAAUCCAAGUGGACCGCGAAGACGCCCCUUACCCUGCAAACCCGGGCGAUCUCUCUCCAGCCCCGAGUCAGGUAGACCUCGCCCGGGGCAACGACCGCAACCUCUACCUCGGUCGCGAGGGUGCUGCACCCAGCGUGCUGCAGCCAGAGCUCCAGGGGCUCCCCCUGCGGGAUGAUGGAGGCGAAGAAGGGAGGAAGGCGGAUCCAAGACUGAAGAGGAAUGGCGACGUGAAGCACGAACUCUUGGGCGGAGCCCUCUGUGUGGACCCCAGGGGGGACGACCCACACCUUCGUGACCCGUCGGCACCGACGGCGGCGCCGCCCAUGGCGGUCAGCAUCAGCUCCUUCGGGGCCCUCGACGUGGGCGAACAAUGGCAGUGGGAACCCCGGCAGCACCCGCUCGCACCAAGGCCUCGACACCACCUGAAGGGACCCUUCGUCCGGGCCACGGGGGACGAGCCGUUUCUUCGGCGAGAGUGGGUCUGGUUCCUCUCGAGGAGCCUUUCCCUUCUCUGCCGUCGAGAACCGGCAGAUCGGAGCCAUCGCAGCAAGACGGAGCAAGGAUCGGGAAGAAGGAGAAGCAAGGGGAGAUGGACUGGAAGGGCGCGCGCUGUUCCGUACUUAUGGCCGGCGAGGGCCCACCGUCGACCUCCACGAUUGCAGGUAAUCAUGACCCAAUUUGCAUCCAGGGACUUGUCCAAUCCGUGCAGUUGCUGAGGCGCCAUGGGGAAGUGGAUGCGCCCAUGUCCAACCAACCGCCAUGCGGCGCCCAAGGCCGCAGGCUGUUAGGGCCUGCAGCGCUUCGCUCUUGCCCUUUCGCCUCCCUGCACGGCCAAGUCCGGGCGCGCCUUGGCCCGGGGGCUACUGUCGGCUUUCUGGGAAUGGGGGUCCCCAGACUUGCCUGCCUGCGGCCUGCGGCAUGGCUCAAAAGGGGGCCCAGCGCGGCCCAUCCUCACCAACACAAACCCAAGACCCUCGCGAGGGGCCAAGCCUCGCGGGGCGGACGACACAGAGCUUCCUCAGGCGCGGCCUCGUCAGGAUGGCUCACGAGAAGGCAGAGAGAUCAAGGCAGGGUACCUCACGAGGUGCCCGUGAUGCAAGCCAUGACGACCGGGGGCGCCAGGCGGGUGCCAGCCCGCGCAGCGUCCUUCCUUCCUCUUUGGUGAAAAGGUGGCAAGCGCAGCCGCGGAGUACCGAGGCAUCAGGCAAAGGUUGCCAUUUCGGUGCAACGAGACCAAGACUAGGAGGACUACGAGAUGGAGGUCACCGUGGAGCCCAAGACGGUGUCAUCACCAGAGCUUUGCACAGGCGAAGACUACUUUUGUCAGGGUAGCUAGUACUAGCUGUCCCCUUCAAAUUAGCCCGCCAUUGUUGGCUCCCUUCCCGCUCAAUAUUUGGGAAGAGGACCAGGGCCUCUAUAAAUAGGACCAGCCACCCACAGAGCAAAGGGGCCCGAUGGUUUGGAAGGAUAGAGAAGAUCAGAAAGAGAGAGAGAGAGAGAGAGAGAGAGAGAGAGAGAGAGAAAGGUGACUGAGCUCCUCCCAGCAGUUCAUCGCCCCAGCCAAGAGCAGACCCUCGCGAGGCUGUUCUUCCUUGUAUGGUUCUUCAUCAUUAGCCCAAGAGGCAAUCCACCACACCACACACUAGAGUAGGGUAUUACACCACAAUGGUGGCUCGAACCAGUAUAAACCCCGUGUCUCUUGUGUUGUCCUUUCCAUAGUUUAGAUCCUGGCAAGGCGGGGGGUGCAGGUAGGUAGGAGGCGAAAUCUCCGUGCGCACCCCAGUGUUCGAACCUCAAGGGUCUGCCGGAACCCGAAAUCCGAUAGUGGAUAAGUUCACCAAAUGGAUAGAGGCCAAGCCUGUUAAAACGGCUGAAUCCAGACCGGUGAUAGACUUCAUAUCCGGGGUCGUACACCAUUACGGCGUCCCCCACAGCAUCAUCACUGAUAACAGCACGAACUUUACGAUCGACGAGGUAAAACUCUGGUCCAAAAACAUGGGCAUCAAGCUCGACUAUGCUUCAGUCUAUCACCCACAAACUAACGGUCAGGUCGAGCGAGCAAAUGGUCUAAUCAUGAGUGGCAUCAAAACCAGGUUAGUGCGGUCCCUCAAGGAAUCUAACACGCACUGGGUAGAGGAGCUCGACUCCAUACUCUGGGGGCUGCGGACCACGCCGAACCGCACUACCGGAUACACACCAUUCUUCAUGGUAUAUGGUGCAGAGGCAGUUCUACCCUGCGACAUAAUUCAUGACUCACCUCGAGUGCGUGUGUACAAAGAAAGAGAAGCCGAGCUCGAUCCGCAGGACAGUUUGGACGCCUUGGAGGAGGAGCGUGACGUGGCAAAAGCCCGUUCUGCAUUCUAUCAACAACAGGCUCGAAGGUACCAAAGCAGAGAAGUACGGGCCAAAACUUACAAUGUUGGCGAGUUAGUUCUAUGCCUGCCGGAAAAGAAAAAGGACAAACUCAAGCCCAAGUGGGAAGGUCCCUUCAUUAUUAACCAAGUCCUGACUGGUGGAGCGUACCGUCUACGGGAUGCAUCGGAUAAUCGACUCGAGCCAAACCCAUGGAACGCAGCCCGACUCCGAAGAUUCUACGCCUAGCACCGGACUCUGUGUUUGUCUCCUUCCUUUGUCCAUUUUUUAUACACAAUCUGUCUUGUAUUUUUCUCCUUCUCCCCUUCUCUUCUCUCACAACCUUUAAAGUCCCAUUUGUGCCUUGUUUGCACGUAACUGACGUGCUAUCCACGCUCAUCAUACCUGGGGGCUUCUUUAAACGGAAGCUUAUUCAUACAGGCUUUAUGCCCAACACAUGUGUUAUCCUUCCACAUGUACCCUUUAUUCACCAUUAUAUGCAUCGAUAUGACUUAAGUUUUGGCCAAGCUGGGUUGCCUGGCUCUUGUAUUUAUGCCCUACGUUCCCGUUAAUUCGGCUAGGGCAUAAGGGGAGCACCUCUGCGAUUGUUACUGCCGGGUCAGCCGGAUGUGUACCUCUGACUGGGUGAAGCUGAAAGCUAGCGUUCUUAAGGGAAUAUUCGGUCGGUGAACUAAAGAUGAAUUUUCACUUAUUUACUUAUGCGCCCCAGAUGUUUUUUCUGCGUCUCUUUUCGCAAUCCGGACAUGCAAUUUAGGGCAUGCCUCCCAGGGAAAGGAACCCUUAACGGAACUAUUCUCCCUGGAAGAUGUUUCUUACUAACCAUGUAAUAUAACAUAACUAGUUGGGCACUUGUCUGUUUAAGCACUAAUGACCCCUACGCCUGGUUUCCAUGCAUGCCCCGGUUCUUACAUAACCGAGAGGGUAUUCAGAUACACUCUGGACCGUCGGGUCCCGAGGUUGAAGCAAAAAGGUCCGCCACGACAAACGAUCUACAAUCCGGCUAGAAGGCAUUAUACAUGUCACCUUCAAUUACAUAGUCAAUUUAACUGGGUAAAUUCCUCUUCAAUACCAUCCAAUAGGCUGUCUAAUUUACAGUCCUGUUGGGAAUACUUUGCGGCCAAUUCUACUUGGUCGUACACUAAGCUCACGGGGAUCUCCUUCCCAUCAGGCCCCACAGGUCCGACCUCGGCCAUGUGGUUUGGGUCAGCCUUCAUGUACCGCAUCUUCACCAUGGCCCAGGCUUCCUUGGCGCCCUGACGGCAGGCCGAUAUCUUCCAUAAUCGGAAGCACCGUCGCGCUCCCUUCAGCUUCUCUGCAAGCUCUCCAAGGCCUUCGGGCAUGGAGACGGAUGGCCACAAGGCCUGUGCGACGCCUUGCAUCACUUGCCGAACUCAUUCGUGUAGUUGUGCGAGCUCGUGAAGAAGGUCACCCGUAGAACCGGGCAUUUCCUCUGCAGGAUGACCUGUUAGCAUACCUACAGACAUAACUCUGUCAGCCAACUUCCUCGCCGAACUCUUUUUCAAAGUUCGUUCAAGCACUUACUAAAUAUGCCACGUCGAAGCCGCUGAUUCUCCUUAAUGGAGUCCGAUAGUUGGGCACGAACAUCUUUUAGUUCCACGCCCAGCUUGGUGUUGGCAUCUAGGAGAUCAUUCUUCUCCUGCCUCACCCUCGUAAGCACGCUCUCACCAGCCUUUAGCUAGCGUAGGAGCUGUUGCUUAUCCAGAUUUACUCCGGCAUCAUCUGCAAUUUUACCGUCAGAUCUGCAUAUACGCCGCACUUUAUAUGAUACUUAUCAUUUGAAGGAUAUAUUACCAGAGGGGGUCUCUUUGGGCUCCCCUGCUGCGGCUAGUGCGGUCUGAAGUUGGGCUUUGCACUCUUCCAGCUCUUGGGACAGUUGGGUAUUCUUUUCUGUAAGAACAUGCAUAACAAAUGAUCCUUAAAUCAGUUAUUCUAACUGUUUCAAGUCUCAGGGGCUACUGAUAUAUAUAAUCACCAAAUUUUCUCACCUGUAUGUCUUUUACAUACUGCUCUGUGGCUCUGGCUAGACCACUUUGAGCGGCACGGAGGUACGCAUCUCCCGAGUUGAAGGCAUCCAAUGCCUCUUGGGAGAAACAAGCAUCACGAAGAACAGUCUGGCGACGCCUGUGGUUCAUGGCACUUUCCACCUCGGAAUUGGUGGCGGACAGUCUGUCUGCAUCCUCUGUCGGAGGAGCGCCCGGCGCACGCCUCGUAUCCGUUCCCGCCUCCGAAUCCGUCCUUGGAGCAUGGCUGGUGGAGGCACGAUUAGUAGCCUCUCUGGAUAUAGUCCGGCGAGCGCUCUUUUUCCUAAAAAGAAGGCAUGGGCGUUAGUAUGCCUCUAAGAAUAAUAUCUUGGAAUAAAGACGACGCGCUGUACCACUGCAUCGGUGUCUCAAUCCGGACUGCGUGUCUUUUCAGCUUGCCUGGCCUCGCGGCCCCUUGUUGGCUAGUCGACGCAGGCUCGGCCUUCCGCCUCGAGGACCUCCCCUGCAAAACACAGUUGUUAUACGAUAAUCAAAACCACGCAAGGACGGAUCCCUUUUCAAAGUGCUGGGACUUCGGUCUCAGUUACCUGUGAGGCUGGAAGUAGCCCAGGGUAAUCGGCCAUAAUGGCCACCAAGGCGUUGUCAUGGCUCAAUUGAUAAAAUACCCCAUCGAUCAGCUCCAUAGAUAUGUCCGGAUCCUCUUGGGAGGCCGGGUCAAGGGACCAUUCUGGGUCCUCGGGUUGUGGAGGAGGGUUGUUUAUCUCCCUUACAGCCUGGCGCAGCUCCUGCGUUGAAAUCGCUAGACUGAAUACUUAACUAUGGGAAUAUGAAACGGAUGGGCGAGAAAGAGUGUCCGCUUACCCAGCUCGGAGGAUUGUACAUAGAAAAUCCGCCCUGCGGGUUGUCGCGGAGGAAUUCCUCCUCUUCUCCCUUGUACAAAGUGGAUAAGAUCUUUAUUAGAGCAGCAACUGAUUCCGGCCCUUUACGGCUGCAGCGGGUGACGUCAUCCUCCCCGUUGAAAUCCCACAUGGGGUGGCCUCUAUACUGAACCGGCUGCACCCCCCGCAUAAUGCAUGUGGCCAUGACCUCGAUCGUGGUCAAGAUCGAGGUAACAAACUUAUCCGGUUCAUCAGGUAAAGAACAUCCCUUUCAUCAUCAUCCUAGGGUCUCCGUGGACACCAGCUCCGGCGCUUCUUCAAAGGAGCGUUGUCGAACUCAGGGAGGACGAUUCGAAUAGGGUCCGAGAGGGGGACGUCUUCUAUAUAAAACCAUUCUGAAGGCCAGUCUUCGGACGUCUUCUUUGCGGUUCCGGAUAGAUAUCCAGUCCCGGCAAUACGCCACACUUCGGCUCCGCCCACUUGAUAUAUUGACCCCUCCUGAGAACGGGGCACAAGGCAGAAUAGCUUCUUCCACAAUGCGAAAUGAGCCUCACAGCCCAAAAACAGCUCGCAAAGGGCUACGAAGCCCGCGAUAUGCAAUAUGGAGGCAGGCGUAAGGUUGUGCAACUAGAGGCCAUAGAACUCCAGGAGCCCCCGGAGAAACGGAUGAAUUGGAAAUCCGAGCCCUCUUACCAAAUGAGGGACAAGGCAUAUCCGCUCUCCCUUGGAGGGAUUGGGAAGGCUCUCCGCUUGCUCUCCGCCAUUGUAGGUGGCGAGCCCGGCUCGAACCGGGACCAUGUAUGCUGGGGGAAGAAAUCCCUUGGUCUGAAGCAUCACUAAUUUGCUGUGCGGGACGGAACAUCUCUCCCAAUCUCCAGGCUUGGGGCAAGGGGAGCGAGAGGAGGAGCUGCGUCGACCGGCCAUGAUGGAAUGGGUCUCUGUCGGGUGCGCUCCGAUGAAGGCUCGCCAAGGGAGGAUGGUGUGAUUUGGAUCUGAAUCCUUGUCUCUUUAAUAGGAAGCUCAUUCACACAGCUAGGGGGUAAAUGUAAAAACAUCCCUUUUCACAUUCGCUCGACACGUGGAAAGUGGCUGUUAUUGGGCGUGGAAGCCAAGGAGCGCAACAUUCACAAGAAGUCGGACACUAUUUCAACAGAUACACGGAAUUUGGAGAGGAACCCGCCUUGCAAUGCCGAAGACAAUCUGCGCGCCGGACUCGUCAUCAUUGAAGCCUGGUUCGGGGGCUACUGAGGGAGUCCUGGAUUAGGGGGUGUCCGGAUAGCUGGACUAUAACCUUUGGCUGGACUCUCAGACUAUGAAGAUACAAGAUUAAAGACUUCGUCCCAUGUCCGGAUGGGACUUUCCUUGGCGUGGAAGGCAAGCUUGGCAAUACGGAUAUGUAGAUCUCCUCCCAUUGUAACCGACUCUGUGUAACCCUAGCCCUCUCCGGUGUCUAUAUAAACCGGAGGGUUUUAGUCCAUAGGACGAACAUACAAUCAUACCAUAGGCUAGCUUCUAGGGUUUAGCCUCUCUGAUCUCGUGGUAGAUCUACUCUUGUACUACCCAUAUCAUCAAUAUUCAUCAAGCAGGACGUAGGGUUUUACCUCCAUUAAGAGGGCUCGAACCUGGGUAAAACAUUGUGUCCCCUGCCUCCUGUUACCAUCCGGCCUAGACGCACAGUUCGGGACCCCCUACCCGAGAUCCACCGGUUUUGACACCGACAGUCUUCGUUCAUAUCGAUCAUCCCUACUCCUCUCCCUUGAUGGUGAUUCUUCUCUUCUACUUCUUCUUUUGGGAGAAUCUUCUCUUCUCUUGUGGGGAGCCGUACACUCAUUGGAGUAGUGCCCGGGUCUUCGACAAUUGUAGCAGUUUCGCUCUCGACAAGAAGACCAUUUGUCAUUGUAGGACCUUGACUUGGAACUUCUCUCUUUGCUUCUAUUCUUGUAGAACUUGUUGAAGUUCUUCACCAUUAAGCUCAAUUCUUCAUUGAAGGUUUGUUUAUCACUUGAUGAUGUGGGGGCUUCACAUGAGGCUUUGUAAGCACCACUUGACUUGUUAUGGAGCUCCUCCUUAUCCUUGAGUGACAUCUCAUGAGCAACAAUUCUUCCAAUGACUUCCGUUGGCUUGAGAUCUUUGUAAUUUGGCAUCAUUUGGAUCAAUGUACAUAUGGUAUCGUAUUUUCCAUCCAAGGCUCUUAGGAUCUUCUUGAUGAUGAAUUUGUCGGUCAUCUCUUCACUUCCUAGGCCGACAAUCUCAUUUGUGAUAAGAGCAAGCCUAGAGUACAUUUCAGCAAAACCUUCACCAUCCUUCAUUUUGAACUUGUCAAGUUGACUUUGAAGCACAUCCAACUUGGAUUCCUUGACGGAGUCAGUACCUUCGUGCAUAUCAACCAAAGUAUCCCAAAUUUCCUUUGCAUUCUCAAGACGGCUGAUUUUGUUGAAUUCUUCGGGGCACAAUCCGUUGAAGAGGAUAUCACAAGCUUGAGCGUUGUAUUGCAGCAUUUUCAUCUCUUCCGCGGUGGCUUCACGAUUCGGUUCUCUCCCAUUAAAGAAUCCACCUUGGAAGCCAACACACACAAUAGCCCAAACGGCAGGGUUAUGUCCAAGAAUAUGCAUUUUCAUCUUAUGCUUCCAACUAGCUAAAUUAGUGCCAUCAAAGUAAGGACCUCUAUGGUGGUAAUUUCCCUCGCUAGACGACAUACUCUCCUAGGUUGUGAAACCAAGGCUAUGACCACCAAAAGCUAUGGAAAUCAAAGCAAAUGGAGACCAAAGCUCUGAUACCACUUGUAGGACCGAAAGUAUGUCUAGAGGGGGGGUGAUUAGACUACUUGAAUUAUUAAUAAUCUAUCCUUUUCCCAAUUUUAGUCUUUGGCAGAUUUUAUCUAUCUUAGCACAAGUCAAUCAAUCUUAACACAAUUCAAGCAAGCAUGCAAAGAGUCUAUGAGCAGCGGAAAGUAAAGCAUGCAACUUGCAAGAAUGUAAAGCGAAGGGUUUGGAUAAUUCAAACGCAAUUGGAGACACGGAUGUUUUUGUCGUGGUUCCGAUAGGUGGUGCUAUCACAUCCACGUUGAUGGAGACUUCAACCCACGGAGGGUAACGGUUGCGUGAGUCCAUGGAGGGCUCCACCCACGAAGGGUCCACGAAGAAGCAACCUUGUCUAUCCCAUCAUGGCAAUCGCCCACGAAGGACUUGCCUCACUAGCGGUACAUCUUCAUGAAGUAGGCGAUCUCCUUGCCCUUAAAAACUCCUUGGUUCAACUCCACAAUCUUUGUCAGAGGCUCCCAAGUGAAACCUAGCCAAUCUAGGAGACACCACUCUCCAAGAAUUAACAAAUGGUGUGUUGAUGAUGAACUCCUUGCUCUUGUGCUUCAAAUGAUAGUCUCCCCAACACUCAACUCUCUCUCACAGGAUAUGGAUUUGGUGGAAAGAAGAUUUGAGUGGAAAGCAACUUGGGGAAGGCUAGAGAUCAAGAUUCAUAUGGUGGGAAUGGAAUAUCUUGGCCUCAACACAUGAGUAGGUGGUUCUUUCUUAGAAAAUGUGUAUUGGAAGUGUAGGUAUGUUCCGAUGGCUCUCUCCACGAAUGAAGAGGGGGUGGAGGGGUAUAUAUAACCUCCACACAAAAACUAACCGUUACACACAAUUUACCAAUCUCGGUGAGACCGAAUUGAGAAACUCGGUCGGACCGAUUUAGCAAACCUAGUGACCGUUAGGAUUUUCAGUGGGACUGAGAUGCAACUCAGUAGGACCAAUAUGGUUAGGGUUAGGGCAUAACAUAAUCUCGGUGUGACUAAUUACACAAACUCGGUGGGACCGAUUUUGGUAAUAAGCUAACCAGAGAGUUGGUCAGGUAAACUCGGUGGGACCGAUCGCUCAUUUCGGUGGGACCGAAAUGUUAUAAAAGAAAACAGAGAGUUUACAUUGCAAUCUCGGUGGGACCGAUCGCUCAUCUCGGUAGGACCGAAACAUUACGAAGUGAAACAGAGAGAUUACAACCCCAUCUCAGUGUGACCGAAAUCCAUAUCGGUGAGACCGGUUUGCGUGGGGUUUGUGGCAGUGGCUAUGACAUCUGAAACUCGGUGGCGCCGGAUAGAAAGAAUCGGUGGGACUGAGUUUGACUUUGGGUUUAGGUCAUAUGUGGAUGUGGGAAGGUAGUUGAGGGUUUUGGAGCAUAUCACUAAGUACUAUGAAGCAAGAACCUCAUUAAACAACACCUCAUCCCUCCUUGAUAGUAUUGGAUUUUCCUAUAGACUCAAUGUGAUCUUGGAUCACUAAAAUAUAAAAUGUAGAGUCUUGAGCUUUGAGCUUGAGCCAAUAUUUUUGUCCCUAGUAUUUUGAGGGGUCCACAUUCCUCAUCCAUGCCAUGCCAUUCAUUGAGCUUUUCCUGAAAUAUUAAUCUUGGAAUAGCAUUAGCUCAAUGAGGUAUAUGUUGUUAGGAAUUACCAAAACCACCUACGGAUAGUUGCACUUUCAACUGAAUAUAUCUAAUGGGGCACGUUGCAUGAAAUCAAAAAAAAAUUCUAUGGAACACCCAAGAACUAAUCUAAGAGAUGCAUAGCAACGAGAGGGUGUCUACAUACCCUUGUAGACCGAAAGCAUUAGCAUCGUAACAUGGUUGAUGUAGUCGUACUCAUCACGAUCCAAUCAUGAACCAAUCUGAUCUAGUGCCGAACGGACUGUGCCUACAAGUUUAGCACACAUACGGCUCGGCUGCAUCCUCUCUUGCUUGAUCCAGUAAGAGACGGAGAGGAGGUAGAUGAUAUCUGAACCAACACGAUGACAUGGUGGUGGUAAUGGAAGCGGAACACCGACGAAGCUUCGCCAAGCGCUGACCGAUCAAGGUGGAGGCUUAUCGGGAGAGAGAGGAGGCUUGGGUUUGGUGUGUCCAGUCCUUGCACUCCUCCCCACUAUAUAUAGGGGUGUGGGAGGGCUGGGGCGCAGCCCUAUCCCCUCCUUCAAGGUGGGGAGGCGUCCAAGGGAGGAGGAGUACCCUCCAAGCCAAGUGGAGGGCCUCCCCCUUAGGGUUUCCUUUCCCCUAGGCACAUGGGCCAAGUAGGGGCUGGUGUGCCUAGCCGAAUAUGGCCAGGGUGCUCCCUAGAGACCAUGCUACUGUUCGAGACAUGGUGAAAUCUUCCAAGGACUUUCGGACCCCUCCGGAACCUUCUAGAACCUUCCAGUGACUUCCCGGUACAAUACCGAAAAAAGGACUUUUUCCCGGAACUCCGACAACAACUUUCCAUAUAUAAAUCUUUACCUCCAGACCAUUCUGGAGUUUCUCGUGACGUCUCGGAUCCCAUCCGGGACUCCGAAAAACCUUUGGACUUUCCACUAUUAAUAUCUCAAUACUACCCCAGCACUACCAAACGUUAAGCGUGCGACCCUACGUGUUCGAGAACCAUGUAGACAUGACCGAGACUCCUCUCUGGUAAGUAACCAAUAGCGGGACCUGGUUGCCCAUAUUAUUUUCCACAUAUUCCAUGAAGAUCUUUAUCGGUUCAACUACGAUGUCACGGAUUCAGUUAAUCCCGUAUACAAUUCCCUUUGUCCGGCAAUAUGUUACUUGCCCGAGAGUUGAUCGUCGAUAUCUCCAUACCUAGUUCAAUCUUGUUACUAGCAAGUCUAUUUACUAAUUCCGUAAUACAAGAUACCAUGACUAAACUCAUUAGUCACAUUAUUGCAAGCUUCUUGUGAUGUUGUAUUACCUAGAGGGCCCAAAGAUGUCUCUCAGUCUUACGGAGUGACAAAUCCCAGUCUCGAACUAUGCCAACCCAACAAACACAUUCGGAGAUACCUAUAGAGCACCUUUAUGAUCACCUAGUUACGACGUGACGUUUGGAUACACACCAAGUAUGCCUUUGGUGUUAGGGAAUUUCACGAUCUCAUGGUCGAAGGAACAAAGAAUUGAUAUGAAGAAAGCUGUAGCAAAUAACUAAGCGAUACGAUCUGUUGCUAAGCUUACGAUUGGGUCUCGUCCAUCACAUCAUUCUCCUAAUGAUGUGACCCCUAUCAAAUAACAACUCAUGUCCAUGGUUUGGAAACCUUAACCAUCUUUGAUCAACGAGCUAGUCUAGUAGAGGCUUACUAGGGACACGGUGUAGUUUAUGUAUAUAUAUUCACACAUGUAUUUAUGUUUCCGAUCAAUACAAUUCUAGCAUCCUUUCUCUUUCUUCUGUCGUGGUCAACUUUGAGUCUUACUCAACUUCACACCUUAUAAUACAUAGGAAAGAACUCCGUCUUUCACUGAUCUAUUUUGAACUCCUUCAAAAUCUUGUCAAACAAUGUGCUCUGUGAAAGUCUUAUCAGGCAUCUUGAUCUAUCUCUAUAGUUCUUGAUGCCCAAUAUGUAAGCAGCUUUACCUAGGUCUUCCUUUGAAAAACUCCUUUCAAAUAACCAUUUAUGCUUUCUAGAAAUUCUACAUCAUUUCCAAUCGACAAUAUGUCAUCCACAUAUACUAUCAGAAAUGCUAUAGAGCUCCCACUCACUUCCUUGUAAAUACAAGUUUCUUCAUAAACUUCGUAUAACCCCAAAAGCUUUGAUCACCUCAUCAAAGUGUAUAUUCCAACUCCAAGAUGCUUGCACCAUUUCAUAGAUGGAUUGCUGGAGCUUGCAUACCAUUUUAGCAUCCUUAGGAUCCACAAAACCUUUGGGCUGCAUAUAUAUAUUUGUUCCUUAAGGAAAGCGGUUUUCACGUGCAUCUGUCAUAUUUCAUAAUCGAAAAAUGCAGAAAUUGCUAACAUAAUUCUAACAUAUUUAAGCAUCGCUACGGGUGAGAAAAUCUCAUCAUAGUCAACUCGUUGAACUUGCCAAAAACACUUUGCGGCGAGUCGAGCUUUGUAGACAGUGACAUUACCAUAAGCGUAUAUCUUCUUCUUAGAGAUCAAUUUGGUCUCGAUGGCCUGUCAGUCAUCGGGCAAGUCUACCAAAGUCCACACUUGGUUCUCAUACAUGGAUCCUAUCUCGAAUUUCAUGGGCUCUAGCCAUUUGUCAGAAUCCAGUCCCAUAUCCCUUCCUCAUAGUUCGUAUGCUCAUCGUUGUCUAUCCACAUGACUUCCAUGAUAGGAUGACCGUACCACUCAGGGCACUAUGUGUCCUUGUCGACCUACGAGGUUCAGUAGUGACUUGAUCUGAAAUUCAUGAUCAUCAUCAGUAGCUUCCUUUUCAAUUGGUGUAUGCAUCACAUGAACACCUUUCUGCGAUGCGCUUUUCCAAUUCAAGUGAAGGUUUGAUAACCUCAUCAAGUUCUACCUUUCUCCCACUCACUUCUUUCGAGAGAAAACUCCUUCUCUGGAAAGGAUCCAUUCUUGAAAACAAAGACUUGCCUAUUCUAUGAAGGCAUAAGUGUUGCAUCCCCAAACUUUAAGAAAUGACAACAUAGGUUUCUUGCCGGACCAUAGUUCAUACGGCGUCGUCUCAAUGGAGUUGAUGGUGCCCUAUUUAAAGUAAUGUUAUUUUCUCUAAUGCAUAGCCCCAAAACUAUAGUGACAACUUGAUAAGAGACAUCAUAGAAUGCACCAUAUCCAAUAGAGUAUAGCUACGAUGCUCGGGCACACCAUUAUACUCUGGUGUUCCAGGUGGCGUGAGUUGUGAAACAGUUUUCACGUUGUCUUAAAUACAUAUACCAAACUCGUAACUCAGAUAUUCACCUCCACGAUCAUAUUGUAGACAUUUCCUAUUCUUGUCACAAUUAUCUUCAACUUCACACUGAAAUUUCUUGAACUUUUCAAAAUUUCACACUUGCGUUUCAUCAAGUAAAUAUACAUGUAUCUACUCAAAUCAUCUGUGAAGGUAAGAUAAUAAUGAUAUUUGCCGCAUGUUUCAACACUCAUCGGACCACAUACAUUGGUAUGUAUUGUUUCCAUCAAGUUACUUGCCUGCUCCAUUGUACCACAAAAUGGGCUUUUAGUCAUCUUGCCCAUGAGGCAUGGUUCACAUGUUUCAAAUGAUUCAUAAUCAAGUGAUCCAAAAGUCCAUUGCAUGGAGUUUCUUCAUGCGUUUCACACCAAUAUGACCUAAGAGGCAGUGCCGUAAAUAUUUGGUACUAUCAUCCUUAACUUUGCAUCUUUUGGCAUCAAUAAUAUGAACAUGUGUAUUACUACGUUCGAGAUUCAAAAAGAAUAAACCAUUCACAUUGGGUGUAUGACCAUAGAAGAUAUUAUCCAUAUAAAUAGAGCAACGAUUAUUCUCCGACUUAAAUGAAUAAUCGUCUCGCAAUAAACAAGAUCCGGAUAUAUUAUUUAUGCUUAACACAUGCACCAAAUAACAUUUAUUUAGGUUUAAACUAAUACCGAUGGCGAUCAUAUCAACCUUGGAGACACUUCCAACAUGCAUUGUCACCUCAUCCUUAGCUAGUCUCCGUUUACUCCGUAUCUUUUGUUUCGAAUUACAAAUAAGAGCAACCGAACUAGUAUCAAAUACCCAGGCGCUACUAUGAGCACUAGUAUGUUACACAUCAAUAACAUGUAUAUCAAAUAUACCUUUGUUGACGUUGUCAGCCUUCUUAUUUUCCCAGUACUUAGGGCAGUUCCUCUUCCAAUGACCAUUCCCCUUGCAAUAGAAGCACUCAGUCUCAGGUUUGGGCCUAGCCUUGGGUUUCUUCACUGGAGCAGCAACUGCCUUGCCAUUCUUCUUGAAGUUCCCUUUCUUUCCCUUGCCCUUCUUGAAAAUAGUGGUCUAAUUGACCGUCAACACUUGAUGAUCUUUCUUGAUUUCUACCUCCACAACCUUAAGCAUCACAAAGUGCUCAGGGAUCAUCUUGCCCAUCCCUUUAUUAUUAUAUUUCAUCACAAAGCCCGUGUAGCUUGGUGGUAGUGACUGAAGAACUCUAUCAAUCACUACUUCAUCCGAAAGAUUAACUCCCAACUAAUUCAAGCGGUUGUAGUACCCAGACAUUUUGAGUACAUGCUCACUAAUUGAGUUAUUCUCCUCCAUCUUGUAGCUAAAGAACUUGUCGGAGGUGUCAUACCUCUCAAUCCAGGAGUGAGCCUGAAAUGCCAAUUUCAACUCCUAGAACAUCUCACAUGGUCUGUGGUGCUCAAAACGUCUUUGGAACCCCAGUUCUAAGCCAUAAAACAUGGCGCACUGAACUAUCGUGUAGCCAUCAAUUCAAGUCUGCCAGACGUUCAUAGCAUACAGAUUUUCAGGAGCAGGUGGUUCAGCUAGCGGUGCAUCAAGGACAUAAGCCUUUUAUGCAGCAGUGAGGACAAUUCUGAAAUUACGGACCCAGUCCUCAUAGUUGCUUCCAUCAUCUUUCAACUUUUCUUUCUCUAGGAACACAUUAAAAUUUUGGGGAGCUAUAGCGCGAGCCAUUGAUCCACAACAUAAUUUGCAAAUAUAUUUAGACCAUGUUCAUGAUAAUUGGUUUGGUUAAUCAAAUUACUAGUGAACUCCCACUUAAAUCAACAUACCUCAAGUUGUCUAAGUAUUACAUGACCCAAAUCAAGUACCCAUGUCUGAUCAUCACGUGAGAUGGGGUCGUCAUCAAUGGUGAACAUCUCCAUGUUGAUCAUAUCUACUAUAUGACUCAUGUUCUACCUGUUGGUCCUCCAUGUUCUAAGGCCAUGUUUGUACAUGCUAGGCUCAUCAAGUUUAACCAAAGUAUUACGUGUGUGUAAAACCGGCUUACACCCAUUGUAUGUGAACGUAGAGUCUAUCAUACCCGAUCAUCACAAGGUGCUUCGAGAUGACAAACUUUUGCAACGGUGCAUACUUAGGGAGAACGCCUUUUAUCUUGAAAUUAAGUGAAGGAUCAUCUUAUAGCGCUACCGUCAUCCUAAGAAAAAUAAGAUGCAUAAAAAGAUAAACAUCACAUGCAAUCAAUAUAUGUGACAUGAUAUGUCCAUUAUCAUCUUGUGCUUUUGAUCUCCAUCUCCAAAGCACCGGCAUGAUCUCGAUUGUCACCACAUCACACCAUGAUAUCCAUCAUUGUGUCGUCAUCUUGGUUGUCUCCACCAACUAUUGCUUCUACAACAAUUGCUAACGCAUAGUGAUAAAGUAAGGCAAUUACAUGGCAUUUAUUGAUUUACACACAGGUUAUAAAAUAAAUUAAAGACAAUCCUAUCGCUCCUGCCGGUUGCCACACUCAUCAACAUGCAAGUCGUGAACCUAUUACAAAACAUGAUCAUCUCAUACAUCAACAUAUAUCACAUCACGUUUAGGCCAUGCCACAUCACAACAUGCCCUGCAGAAACAAGUUAGAUGUCCUCUACUUUGUGGUUGUAAUUUUUACGUGGCUGCUAGGGAAAACUAUAAGAACUGUUCUUAUCUACGCAAAACCACAAUGGUGAUACACAAGUUUCCUUUUAACCUUCUACAAGGACCGCCCUCGUCAAAUCAGAUUCAACUAAAGUGGGAGAGACAGACACCCACAAAGCCACUUUUAUGCAAUACAAGUUGCGUGUCAAACAGUGGAACCGGUCUUAUGUGUGUGGACAUGUAAGUAUGGUCCGAGCCGCUUAAUCCCACAAUACCCCUAAAUCCAAAUAAGACAAGGGAAGUAAGCAAUUUGAACAACAACAAUCACAAUAUGUCUUCUACUCGUGCAUAUACAUCUAUGCAUAGACCUAGCUCAAGAUGCUACUGAUGGGGAACGUUGCAUGAAAAUCAAAAAAAUCCUACAAAACACCCAAGAUCUAAUCUAGGAGAUGCAUAGAAACGAGAGGUGGGUGUAUCUACGUACCCUUGUAGACCGAAAGCAUUAGCACCAUAACACGGUUGAUGUAGUCGUACUCGUUGCGAUCCAAUCACGAUCCAAUCGGAUCUAGUGCCGAACAGACGAUGCCUCCAAGUUUAUCACACGUACGGCUCGAUAGUGUCCUCUCUUUCUUGAUCUAGCAAGCGAGGGAGAGGAGGUAGAUGAAAUCUGAACCAAUGAUACAUCCAUUUUGCAUCAUGUUUUUAUGUUGAUAUUUAUUGCAUCAUGGAUUGUGAUUACACUUUAUGAUACAAUUCUUAUGCCUUUUCUCUCUUAUUUUGCAAGAUUUGCAUGAAGAGGGAGAAUGCUGGCUACUGGAAUUCUGGACCGAAAAGGAGCAAAUCUGAGAUCCCUAUUCUCCACAACUACAAAUGUCCUGAAACUUUACGGAGAAUUUUUCUGGGAUAUAUAAAAAUAUUGGGUAAAGAAACUUCAGGAAGGGACCCACCAUGUGGCCACAAGCCUGGGGGCAGGCCAUACCCCCCAGGGAGCGCUCUCUGAGCUUGUGGUCCCCCUGGCCAUCCUCCGGUGCAACCGGUGAAUUAUCAACAAUAGGUUACAAAAUUAGGCUAUGCAUGAGAAUAGGAGCUAUCAAAUAACACUAGCAAAAUCUAAUGCAAGCACGAGAGGGAAAGAAUGGGCGAUAUAUGAAUGAUCAAGGGGUUUUUGAUUUCCUGGAAGCUCUGCGGCAAGGAGCUGGACAUCUGGAGUGUGGUCGUACACAGCGGCCUCAGCAUCAGUCUCGGGGUCUACCAGAGAAGAAGAGGGGGAAGAAACAGUAAAUAUAAAGCACACAUAUGAAACACGAUGCAUGCCAUGGUAUUAUGCAUUGCUAGGGGUGACCUAAUGUAGUGCUAAGUGUUAUAGAAGGAACGGGAAAAUAUCUAGAAAUUUUUUCCUGGCUCUGGGCAUUUAUCAGUCAGACAAUUCCAAGGGGAAGGUUUCAUGUUUGCAGUGUUGGGGGCAUGUGACAAGUAUGUGGAUGGCAUAUUCAGAUUCGUCUUAUUUUUCUGAUUAUUUUUCAUAUAUAAAUUAUUUUCAUCCGAGUUAUGGUUUAUUUUAUAAGAGUUUUCAACGUUUAAAUGAAUUUCUGGAUUUUCUAGAACUAUUAUUAAAUCAAAUUAUAAACAUAAUAUAGCUUUUAUACCUACUAUGGGCUAGCCAUGGUGCAUGACAUGUGGGGCCAGGGUCAACCGUUGACCUAGUCAUCGGCAUAGUCAGUAGUCAACUUCAUUGACUGUCGACUGAUCAAAUAUGACAGGUGGGGCCCCUCGGUCAUUGACUAGCACCUUAACUAAAUUACUAAACGUGUUUAAUUAGAGUGUUGGGCCACUAGUCAUACACACAGGGGUCAUUACUGAGGGGAUUAGUGCCUAAACUAAUUAGUUCGGCCCCAUGUGGCAGUGACAUAGCUAGCUUUGGCCGCGGCUGUGCACACACGCACAGAGGCGUCGAGGGCCAUCGAUGGCAACGGCGAACCAGGAGCGGCUAGCAUUGGGCGAGUGUGGGGCAGAAGCAGUGGCGGUUGAGGGAGUCCUACACUAAGGGGUCCUCGGGCGUCCGACCUAUUAGACAUGGGCCGGACUGAUGGGCUAAGAAGAUACGAACGCCGAAGACUCCACCUGUGUCCGGGUGGGACUCUCCCUGGCGUGGAAGGCAAGCUUGGCAUCCGAAUAUGAAGAUUCCUUUCUUUGUAACCGACCUUAUGUAACCCUAGAUCCCUCCGGUGUCUAUAUAAACCGGAGGGCUAGGUCCGUAGAGGGAUCCGGAUAAUCAUAGUCAGACAGGCUAGACUUCUAGGGUUUAGCCAUUACAAUCUCAUGAUAGAUCACCUCUUGUAAUACUCAUAUUCAUCAAGACCAAUCAAGCAGGAAGUAGGGUAUUACCUCCAUAGAGAGGGCCCGAACCUGGGUAAACAUUGUGUCCCUUGUCUCCUGUUACCAUCGACCUUAGCCGCACAGUUUGGGACCCCCCACCCGAGAUCCGCCGGUUUUGACACCGACAUUGGUGCUUUCAUUGAGAGUUCCACUAUGCUGUCGUCAAAAGGUUUGAUGGGUCCUUCAAUCAUCUACAAUGACGCUGUCCAAGGGGAAGUCUUCCUCCCCGGACAGACCUUCAUGUUCAGCAGCUUCGCACUGCGGGCCAACUCGGUUGGCCAUCUGGAGCAGAUCGAAAGCUACGCCCCUGGCCAUCAGGUCAGAUUUGGAAGCUUGAACCAUGCCGCGAAUAUCCGUGUUGAUCUUCGACGGAUUCAAGACCACGGCAGCCGCUCCCUGCCACCACGAUGAACAUGACGUAAAUCCGUCAUCGGUCCAUACCCAGGAGAUAGUACCUGUAGCUUCUCUAGCCCUAGAUCCGGAGCAGAUCGCGCCAUCCGAAGACGGGAAGCUCAACCCCGCUGCGGAAGCCGCAGACCCAACGACAUUGGAGCCGCACACAUACCUAACUUCAAGUGACAUCUGUGUCACCGGAACCAUGGACUCGUCUCCGGCUACAGGUUCUGAACCUUGUACGUCCGCAUACGCCGAGCUUGAUCGACCAUCGAUCGCCGAAUUCAGCUCCGCGGACAUCUUCUGGCACUCACCUUUGAGAGAUGUGUUAAACUCGUUCAGAGCACUAUCCUUAGCGGGGGGCUCACCGCCAAAUUAUAUCUGGUUCGAACUAGAGGCUGAUGACGGAGAAUUUAGCUUCCCACCCACCGCCCACUUCAUAGCCACUGUCAAAGACUUAACCGACAUGCUCGAUUAUGGCUCCGACGACAUCGACUAUCACAUCCCUAGUUCUGGUAUGACCUAGGCUAGCCUUCAUGUUGCAUCAUGUUUAAAUUUCAUUGAAAUUUGAAAUGGGGAUUUGUGAAACCCCUCGGAAUCAUUUCUAGAAAUAACCUGGAUAAAAAAAUUGCUCCAAAAAGGUCCAAGAAAAUGUUCAUGUAGCUCUCAGAAAAUAUUGGUUAGAGGUAAAAUUCAAACAAAUAUUUUCAGGAGCUUAUAAGUAUUUAUUUUGACCUUUUGGAAUUAAUGCAAUAAUUAUUUGCAUUGGAUAUAUAUAUGUUAUAUAUAUAUAUAAUAUAUGUCCAAAACUUAUGCUUGUUGUUGAGGAGCUCUGGAAUAAUACCAUUAGCUCCUACAAAAAUUGGCAUAAGAAAAUAAAUUAGUUUAGUACUAAUUUUAAGUAGAAACAAAUGUGAGAAAAUAGAAAACAAAACAAAAUAGAAAGAAACUUACCUGCGGCCAGCUCCUGUGCUGACCCAGCACUGUGCAGCCUGGCUGGGCUGGCACCAUUAGCUCCUACAAAAAUUGGCAUAAGAAAAUAAAUUAGUUUAAUAUUAAUUUUAAGCAGAAACAAAUGUGAGAAAAUAGAAAACAAAACAAAAUAGAAAGAAACUUACUUGCGGCCAGCUCCUGUGCUGACCCAGCACUGUGCGGCCUGGCCGGUCUAGUUGGCCAGCCCAGCCCACCUGCCCCCCUCCCCUGUCGUCUUCCUCCCGCCAGGAGGACGCGUGCGUGGCCGCCGCGUGCGAGCACACGCCGGCCACCUCCUGCUUCCCUGCUCACCACUGGAGGCAUCCGAGGGCGACAUGCACCCCCCGACCCCCCUCGUCCACUCCCCUCCCCUCUAGUCGCCCCUCUCCUGCUUUGCUGUCUUCCCCGCUGCUGCCCGAGCGCCACCAUCGCCACCCACGCCGUUUGACGCGCCAACCGUAGUCCCCUCGCCCCUCUGUCGUGCCCAAAAGCUCCACCACUUCGUCCGCUACCUCUCCGUCAUGCCACGCGUCGCCGGACGCCUUGUGGAGCCACCUCCGCCGUCAUCUUCAACCUCGGCCGCCGUGGAUCUCCACCACCCGUCCGUCGCCUGCAGUGCCUUCUCCGAGCCGCCGUUGCCUCUGCUCGACUCGCUAUGAGCCCCGCCGUCGAACCCCCCUCUCCCCUAGCUCGAAUUCUUCCUCCAACACCAUCGCCGUCGCGGCCGAGAGCUCGGCUCCGCCGUUCAUGUCGCUGUCGUGGCCACUGUCACCUAGGCUCCCAACCGAGCUCACCGCCGUUCUCAGUGCCCUCCCGCGCGUCGUUUGAACCCAACCGUAGCCCCCCUAGUGCCCCGCAACACCUAAACCGCACGCACCCGACUCCGGCCGCCGCCGCGAGCUUUGCUUCGGCGAGCUCCGCCGUUCCCGUGGCCUCCCCAGAGCGUGGCUGGAUGCGCCCGUGCACGGGCUACCCGUCGGUGGCCUCCGUGUGCCAAACCGUGGCCUCCUGCUCGUUCCGGCGAACUUCCGCCGUGGCUCGGGGUCGUCGUCGGCGAAACUCCGGUGGCUGAUGUGGCGCGUGAUUAGCUGCUAACCCUGCCACUUAAUCCACCCCCUAAGCCACUGACUAUGGGCCCGAGGGCUUGGUCAAACCCUGGUCAGCUGGGUUUGACUCGGGUUUAGCCCCAGUGUCACUGACAUGUGGCCCCCACACGUCAGGUUUGACGUGGUCAGCCCUGCUGACGCCUCUGUGACGUCAUGCUGACGCAAUAAUGAUUUUUCUGGAUUUUAAAUAAUUCAGAGAAUUCCAGAAAAUGAUAUAUACUUCAAAAAUUCAUAGAAAUUCAACCAUAGCUCAAAUUGAAAUAAUUUAUAUAUGAAAAAUUAUCAGAAAAAUUCAAUCUAUCCACCUGUACUUGUUUCAUGCAUGUCUAACCAACUUAUACUUGUUGUAUAGGUGAAAACAUAUAAAUGGCAUUUAUAAAGAUUUAAUUUAGAGUUGCAUUUGAACCUUUGGUUCAAAUGGACCUCUUCCAAAUAGAAUGCUAAAUGCAUUAGCUCAAAGCACAUCACAUACUCAUGCCAUGAUCAUGCAUCAUAUUGUUGCAUAUGCUUGUGUUUGAUUAUCGACACCGUUCCUUCUCGAUAGGUCCUGCUCCGGAGACCGAUCCAGAGUACCUAUCUGAGGAGCAGUGCCUUCGUUGUUGAUCUACCAGGCAAGCAAACCCCCUUGUUCAUUCCGAUACAAUCCUACUCUCUCGCUCCUUCUCUCGUUUAUUGCAUUAGGAUAACAACGAUUCAACUGCUACUUUAUGCUGCGGUAGUUGAACCCAUUCCUCUGCAUGACCUGUCAUUGCCACAGUAAAUAGUUAAAACCCACUAGCAUGUGUAGGAGUUGACUGAGCCAUGUUGUGUUCUUGCCAUGCCAUGCCUGCUAUUGCUUAGAGUUGUGCCAGGUCUGAUUCAUCGGGAAUGAAUUGGAGUGAUACGAUAUGUUUUGGUGCUGAGAGUUAAGCGUGUGAACAUGAUUUGGUAAAGGUAGCGGUGAGAGGCCAUGUAGGAGUACAUGGUGGGUUGUCUCACUAGAACCGUCCUUAAGCACUGAGUUCCGUGUAUGUUGUCCAAUGACUAGCUACUACCACACAUUGGAAUGCUUAAGUGCCCCUCUCGACUUAUUAGCCAACUUGAUCUCUGUCCAAGAGUCGCAAAUAGUUUCCGGUGUUUGUAGGUAGUGUUAGUAGUCUACCAAGUGGCACCCGGCCAGGUGGGCUUGGGACAGACUAGGCACAAGUGGCACGGUGUACCAAGCGUAGAUCCAUCCAGCGAGGUGGGCUUGGGAACCCUGCACAUAUCGUUUGGGGCCGUGAGCGACACCCCGGCCGGAUCUCCUUGUGGAUGGAACCCGAAUAGGCGAUAAACCUGGACUAGAGUCUUGUGUGGUUAGUCAGGUCAUGGCCGACACCCUUGCCAGGCUUCCGCUUGAAGGAUGCCGAGAUACAUGACGUGUACAUGGUGAUAAGUGGUGAGAGCGUGUGUGAAGAAGUACACCCUGCAGGGUUAUCAUGAUCUAUUCGAAUAGUCGUGUCCUCGGUUAUGGACUUCUUGGAUGCUUACGUGGUACAUAGACAACUUAAAGUGGAUACCCUAAAAUGCUCAAGACAAGUGUGAGUGCUAUGGAUGGCCUUCUCGUAAGGAGACGAGGAUGAAUCCAUAGUAGUGUAUUUGAUGUGGUGUUUAGUGGACUUGUGUGCGCUGCCUCACCUCAAAGAAGUUUCUCGUUGUCGUAGAACAGGAUAGCCACUGAGUCAAAGUUGGCUUGCUGCAACUAAACCCCACAUUACCUUCUUGAUGCAAAUGCAUGUAUGAUAGGAUCUGAUGUAAGUCUUGCUGAGUACCUUUGUACUCACGUUGCUUUAUUUCUGUUUUUGCAGCAGAGACUUCAGUCUUAUUAGUUUACUUGGACUUCGACGAGUAGCUUGCACCUCAGCUACGAUCUUGUACCCUUGGGAGGGACUUGUAGAUAGUCAGGCUUCUUAGCCUUUUUCUUUUGUAGUUGUCUGUACUCAGACAUGUAAUGCUUCCGUUGCUUGUAUGCUCUGAAUGAUGGGUCAUGUGACCCCUAUUUGUAUUUAAUGCUAUGUGGCUCUUCUGGGCCUUUAUAUAUAUGAGUUGCGUUAUGUUGUGAUGCCACGUUGUACAGCACAUACUUGCAUGUUAUGCGCACGUGUGACGUGUAUUGCUAUGUGUGGGAUCCGACAAUCUAGUUGUUUAUCCUUGGCAGCCUCUCAUAUGGGGAAAUGUAGUCUAGUGCUUCCUUGAGCCAUAGUAGUCCGCUACAGCCCGGUUCACCGGAGUCCUGCUAGCCCAGCACUACUGCUCAGGACACUUGACUGGCCGGCAUGUGUUUCACUUCGUUCCUAUGUCUGUCCCUUCGGGGAAAUGUCACGCGGUGACAUACGGAGUCCUGUUAGCCCAGUGCUACAGCCAGGAUUCACACGCUGCUGACCGACAUGCUCGAUGUGAAUCAUGUAUGCCUGUCCCCAUAGGUUAGUGCUGCUUUGGGUUCACGACUAGCCAUGUCGGCCCGGGUUCUCUGUCAUAUGGAUGCUAGCGACACAAUCAUAUACGUGAGCCAAAAGGCGCAAACGGUCCCGGGCCAGGGUAAGGCAACACCUAUGGGAAUACCGUGCGUGAGGCCGCAAAGUGAUAUGAGGUGUUACCGGCUAGAUCAAUGUGACUUGGGAUCGGGGUCCCGACAGCUUUGGUAUCAGAGCUUGACUGCCUGUAGGAUUUCCAAGCCAACCUGGUUGAAGUUGAGUCUAGAAACUCUUUAGUUAUUUAAGGGAAUUGAUUGUGGAAGGGAACGUAAGGCUCUUUUUACUCCUUUCACCUCUUGGCCUUCUGAUCUAAGUCAUCCUAUCUUUCCUACGGGGUUAAGGAACUAGGCUUCCUCUUCUGUCUAUCAGGAUCACCUGUUACUACUCCAUAGUCCCAUAGGAUUGGUUGAUCAGAGUCAUAUUCCAGUUUUUAAGUACUUCCGGUGUAGUCUGCUUAGUAAUAUCUCAGAACCCUGAGUGAUGAUGUUGAGUUUGGUGCUACCCCGUCCUUGCAGAAUGUUUCAUUUUGAGCAUUCUACUGUCGUUAUGCUGCCGGAAUUGUCCUAGGAGUUCAAGAGAUAGUAUUUUCUUUGUACUAUAUUCUACAUCCUUAUGAUGAUGCUGAAUCCAUCCUUGUUUCCUUGGUUUUGUUCUUCAGGAUGUUGUUGGUUAACCGAAAUUCUGUUGCUCGUAGCCGGAACCACGGAGAUGGUAGGGAUGAGGAUCCUGCCGAUCAGUCUUCGCUGGCAAAGUUCAUGUUAGAAGUUGAGAUGAACAAGCGUGAGACCAACCGCUUGUUAGCACGUAUCGAGGAGAACACCGCACCCCAGUGCAAGGAGUCAAUGACCAUUUAUGAUUUCAUUGGUCUGAAACCACCUACCUUCCAUCAUUCCAUUGUACCACUCGAUGCAUAUGACUGGCUUUGUAGUAUCACUCACAAGCUGCGUUCUGCGAACGUAGCUGAAAGUGACAAGGUCACCUAUGCUACAUAUCACCUGGAAGGUCCUGCUAGUCUUUGGUGGCAGAACUAUGAGGCUAUGCUUCCAGCUAGCCAGAUAACCACCUGGAGAGAUUUCACUGAGGCCUUUCACGAGCAUCACAUUCCUCAGGCUCUCAUUGACCGCAAGAGAGAAGAGUUCUGUAGUUUCACCCAGAGUAAGAUGGCUGUUGAUGCUUAUAGUAGGGAACUUGAGAACCUUGCCCGCUAUGCUAUAGAAGAGGUGUCCACAGAUGCCAAGAAGCAGGCUAGGUUCCGGAAGGGUCUCAACCCACUACAAGAAAUAUGUCAACUUAUGACCUUCUGUCAGUGACCCUCGAAGAAUUGGUCAUAAAUUUAUGACCAUUUUAGACCAAUUGGUCAAAAGCUGUUCAGGUGGCUCCAAACCCUAAACCAUUGCGACCAUUUUGGUCAGAAAGGUCGUAAUUUCCUUACACGAAAUGGUCACAAAGCAAACAGUGCUAGUCCGUUGCCUUAUUUCUAGUUGUUAGUGACCAAUAUAGAUGGUCAUAGCCUUGUAGAUUGUGGUGGGUUGUGAUGACUAGGCGCCAUCUCAUCAGUUUUGCCUAUGUGUCAUGUCCAUGUGGCAGUUUUUGCCCUAGGUUGUGAAGCAACCUAUAUUUCUAUCAUUCCCAAAAUUCCCAAAAAAAAUCUCAUAAAUUCUUUGGGGCAUAUCUUCAUCAAAUAUGUAAAAAUCCUUCCUUGCCUAGUUCAAAACUAAUUCAACAAUAUUCAUUCUCCUAUUAUGUUCACAACAACACUUUAUGAAGGAAGUUCUAUUUGUAUAUUCCUGAUUGCCCUCGGAAUAUUUGGGCACUCUUUCCUACCAAAUCAUUACCGCAUGACAAAAUUCAGCUCCAUUUGCCUAGAAAAUCUUCCUCGGCAAAUUUCCAAAGUUUUUGUCCACCUAGAAGCAUUGUGAAGGAAGUACCUUUUUUAUAUCACUAAAUGACAUGAAAUUUAUAUAGUUCCUUCAUAUGCCCAAAUUAUCACCCUCCUCCAAAUUGCAGCUCAGUCAAAUCAUCUAUGUGAGCCCAGGUUCAAUUUAUAUUUUAUGGCCAAAUUGGCACGUUGCAAAGCAAGUGUUAUAUAGACCCCUCCUAUUACCCUCAAACUUUUCGGGCACUCUUCCAUACCCAAAUCAUUGCCACAUGCUAAUAUUCAGCUCAAUUUUCCUAGUAAAUCUUUCUCAGGAAAUUUCCAAAGUUUCUACUUCGAGAGAAGCUUUGUGAAGUAAGUACUAGCUAGGCUUACCCAAAUGAUCUGAAAAUUUACCAGCGCAUGACCAUACCUAUGUAACUUACCUAUACCAAUUUUUAGCUCAUUUCAUUCAUCCAAUCUCUCUCACUAGUUUUCCCAAGUUUUUGUCCAUAAAAGAGCAUUGUGAAGAAAGUACUACUUUGGCAUGUCAAAAUGAUAUCAAUUUUCUAUAAUGCUUUCCUAUGCCCAAAUAACCAUCCUCCGCCAAAUUUCAGCUCAAUCCAUUCAUUAUUUUGAGCCCAACUUCAACAUUCAUAUUUUUGUCCAGUGUUGUACUUUGCAAAGCAAGUACCACCUAGGAUCCUCCUUUUGAGCUGAAAAUUUGUGAAUACAUUCUCCUUAGUAGAUGAUCAUCCUCGGCAAAAACUCACGCCCAUUGGCCAUGUGCAUUUCCCAUACCUCUAAUCAAACACUUGGCUGCUUAUUCAUGUUUGAGCAUUGAUCGGUCUCCUCGUGAGAAUUUUAUGUUGUGAUUUUCUUCCUAGCACCUACCUGGGGAGUGCCCAACCCACUAGACAUGCCUAGGCCGCCCAGAACACAUGGUAACGCCACGGCCACGCGGUGACCACGCGGCAGGCAUGGGAGUUUACGCGCUCUAGAGUUGGGGGCCUCGGCCACCGCCCAAACCUCGACGUAUCGCCACCAAACCAUGUAUUUAUGAUUAAAUAGGUACUUAUGUAACUAGAAAUGAUUUUUGGAAAAAAUAAAUAGCAAACUAUGAGGCAGCUGCAGUUCAAAUUUGACCCGCUUCCUACUGAAUCGGCGGGAAUUUGUCUUUUUCACCAGAGGUGGAUCAAAAAAUUUGACACCCAACCAUUUUGUCAAUUGUGCAUUAAAUAUGGCCUAGUAUUUUAUAAAAUUGAUCAGGUCCAAUUUUGCAACAAAUAUAUGGUAGGUCCUAAAAAAACUCAUUUCAGGCACUCGGAAAAUGGUUUUUUCGUCCAAAGAAAAUGAAAACUUCCUUAGGCAACAUUGUUUGCCAUUUCAAUAUGCACCCUUGUGCACAAUAUGAGAUCAUUUGAACAAAAUAUGCCAUGAAUGUGGCCAUAAGAUUGAUCAUUUGGCUUGAAAGCCGUGAAUCUUCACACUUGAUAGCUCAUUUCUAAGAAAACUUUUUAAAAAUAAUUACUGUAUUACAAUUUUAUUAUUUUUCCUGGAAACUUGUUCACAUAUAAUGACACAAAUGCGAAGGUUUUCCAAUUUUUUGAUUUUUUUGAAUUUUUUAUGCCCGUUUCAAAAUGUGGUCAAAACGGUGGGCUUGACCGUUCCUAGCUAGUGGUUGAAUAUUGGAAUUUUUUUUUGGUGUUUCUCUGAUUAAGUAGAUACUUAUGUACCGAGAAAUGAUUUUUGGAAAAAAUAAAUAGCAAACUAUGAGGCAGCUGCAGUUCAAAUUUGACCCGCUUCCAACUGAAUCGGCGGGAAUUUGUCUUUUUCACCAGAGGUGGAUCAAAACUUUUGACACCCAACCAUUUUGUCAAUUGUACAUUAAAUAUGUCCUAGUAUUUUGUAAAAAUGAUUUGGUACAAUUUUGCAACAAAUAUAUGGUAGGUCCUUCACAAAAAAACCUCAUUUCGGCCACUCGAAAAAUGGAAAAUGAAUUUUCCGUGCAAAGAAAAUGAAAACUCCCUUUGGCAACAUUGUUUGGAAUUCCAAGAUGCACCCUUGUGCACAAUAUGAGAUCAUUUGAACAAACUAUGCCAUGAAUGUGGCCAUAAGAUUGAUCGUUUGGGUUGAAAUACAUGAAUCUUCACAGAUGAUAGCUCAUUUCUGAGAACACUUUUUUAAAAUAAUUACCGUAUUACAAGUUUAUUAUUUUUCCUAGAAACUGGGUCACAUAUAAUGACACAUUGCAAAUGUUUUCCGAUUUUUUGAUUUUUUUGAAUUUUUUAAGCCCGUUUCAAAAUGCGGUCAAAACGGCGGGCUUGACCGUUCCUAGCUAGUGGUUGAAUCUUGGAAUUUUUUUGGUGUUUCUCAGAUUAAAUAGAUACUUAUGUACCUAUAAAUGAUUUUUUGAAAAAAUAAAGAGCAAACUAUGAGGCAGCUACAGUUCAAAUUUGACCCGUUUCCAGCUGAAUCGAAGGCAAUUUGUCUUUUUCACCAGAGGUGGAUCAAAACUUUUUUCACCCAACCAUUUGGUCAAUUGUGCAUUAUAUAUGUCCUAGUAUUUUAUAAAAUUGAUUUGGUCCAUUUUUGCAACAAUUAUUUGGUAGGUCAUUCACAAAAAACCUCCUUUUGGGCACUCGAAAAAUGGAAAAUGAAUUUUCCGUGCAAAGAAAAUGAAAACUUCCUUAGGCAACACUGUUUGGAAUUCCAAGAUGCACCCUUGUGCACAAUAUGAGAUCAUUUGAGCAAACUAUGCCAUGAAUGUGGCCAUAAGAUUGAUCAUUUGGCUUGAAAGCCAUGAAUCUUCACGCAUGAUAGCUCAAUUCUGAGAACACUUUUUUAAAAUAAUUACCGUAUUACAAGUUUAUUAUUUUUCCUAGAAACUUGGUCACAUAUAAUGACACAUUGCAAAUGUUUUCCAAUUUUUUGAUUUUUUUUUUGAAUUUUUUAUGCCCGUUUCAAAAUGCGGUCAAAACGGUGGGAAUGACCGUUCCUAGCUAGUGGUUGAAUCUUGGAAUUUUUUUGGUGUUUCUCUGAUUAAAUAGAUACUUAUGUACCUAUAAAUGAGUUUUGGAAAAAAUAUAGAGCAAACUAUGAGGCAGCUGUAGUUCAAAUUUGACCCGCUUCCAACUGAAUCGGUGGAAAUUUGCCUUUUUCACGAGAUGUGGAUCGAAACUUGUGACACCCGACCAUUUGGUCAAUUGUGCAUUAAAUAUGGCCUAGUAUUUUAGAAAUUUGAUUUGGUCCAAUUUUGCAACAAUAAUUUGGUAGGUCCUUCAAAAAAAUCAUUUUGGGCACUCGAAAAAUGAUUAAAAAUAGUUGGAAAGAUAAAAAUGCAUGCAAAUUGGCGAUCAUCCAAAAAAUGUGGUCUAACUUGAGAGAAAAAUUUAGUUGUGCCGUUCUGCAAAAUAUUUUUGAUAGCUGCUUCACAAAACACACAUAGUUUUAGUACUUAGAAACUAUUUUAAACCAUACAUUUUCUGAGCCAAUCAGGGCCUAUCCCACGGAUCGCCCCCCUUAGCCGAUCUGAACCGUCUGUUCUAGCCGAUCUGACCGUCCACUUCUCAGCAGCCUAAUCCAAACCCUAGCAGCCCGUGCCUGCCUCUCUCGGUCUCUCUCCCCCUGUCCGCCGCCUCUCUCUUUCCCCUUCUCCUCGAUCCAGAUCCAACCCAAGCACCCCGUCCUCCGCCGCCGCACCGUCACCUGCCAUGCGCCACCCACCUCCGCUUGCUCGCGCCCCUGCUCGCGCUGCUCCCCGACGGAGCCUCUUCUCCUCACUGUUCAUUUCCCGCAAUCUCAUCCAGUCCCCCCUCACCGCACAAUGGCCGUCGUGCCGGUGGUGUGCCCCUUCCCCACGCUCCCCUCGCCCUCCUCCUCCCUCAGCACGUCCAUGCGCCGUCUUCACGUCCGUGCGGGCUCGCCGCCAGCGGCGGCCGCCUCGCCACGCGAGCAGCAGAGCGCUAGGGGAGCGGUGGGCGUGGGGGAGAGGAGGCGGCGGCAGGAGGAGGAGAAGGUCGAGGCCGACCCGGAGGAUCUCGAGCAGCAGAGGAAGGAGGAGGUGAACCGCAAGAUCGCCUCCCGGAAGGUGCUCUCCAUCAUCCUCCGGCGCGGGGCCACCAAGGCCGUUCUCGACAAGCGCGAGAUCGGCAAGGGCACCCGUCGCCUCCUCCCCCGCACCGUCCUCGAGGCCCUCCACGACCGCGUCGUCGUGCUCCGCUGGGAGUCCGCCCUCAAGGUACCUCCCUCCGCCCCCUCCCUGCUUCCCGCCUCACAACUCAUUGACGCCCAGGCCUUUGUCUAACCAUGUCGUGCCCAUUGACGCCCAGGUGUUCGAGCUAAUGCGGGACCAGGUGUUCUGAAGUGUGCAUCCUCUGCGCCCCUCACCCAGAUCUGCUUGCUUUGUGUGCAUCCAAGUGUGGAAUUCCUCUGUUUUUUCACUGUAUAUCCUCAAUUUCUAUUACAAUGUAAAGUGCUUAGGAAUCCAAUGAUAGACGUGUAAAUGACUUGCAUAGUGUGUGCUUGCGGGUGCAAAGGAUGCCUUUUAAGGGUUUCCUGCCCCCAGGGACCCAGACAUGGUUGCCCUUCUCUUAUAAUCCUGAUGGGCUCAAUUGCUUCUGUAGUUCAUGAGUUUGAUUGCUGUACCACUGACCAAACCUGCAGAUGUUUGCUAUUAUUUCUGUUCAGACAGCCGACUAUGGUUGUUCAACAUUGUGCUUCCUUAUGCAUUUGUCCCAGUAGCACUAACCACACACACCAAACAUUGGAGUAAUAUUAUCUUC
rnacentral:lncRNA from 1 species